GUAAUUGUUAUAAUUACAUAGAAUAAAUUAGGAUUAAAGGGUUGUAGGAUAUAUACCUUUGUUUUGCAAUGUAUAAAUUUCUGUGAAUCAAUGAAGAAAACAGUAGUCAACUUAGGGCAAUCUCUUACUUUCAACUGCGUCAUUUCUGGGAAUACAAAAUGAUAUCCUUUGGGACAAAAGUGAAUGAGGCCAGGUAGUUCUUCAAGUGAUAAAUUUAGUAAUUUAUCAAAUUUCAUCUCCUCUUCAGCUACCACUUCCGCUUUUUCUUCUAAUUCGAAUACUUGUUCCAAUUUAGAAUUUCUUUCUACUAUGAGCCUUUCAAGCUUUGGAAGAACAGGAGCAAAUCCAAAAGGAAAGAGACUGCUCAAAUUUUUACAAUCUAUAACAACAAUCUCAGUCAAAUUUGGAAAGCUCAUAGGUUGGAGGCUAGUAUCACCAUUUGAUGAUGAUGAAGAAACUUGAUCCUUGGCUAAAAUGAGUCGCUCUAUUUCCUCACACCCCUCGAUGAAAAGACCCUUCAAAUGUGAUAAACUGCGAGCCAUCAUAGGUGAAAAUAUAUAUCUUAGCUUCUUGCAAUCUCUCAGUGUUAGAGUUGUAAGGUUCUCAAGGGUUACAACUUGAGCAAAAUCAUUCCAUAUAACCCGCACUUCAAAUAAAUUCCUCAAUUCCAAUGUUUUUAUGCUUGAGAACGAGUACCCGCCUUGAACUUGAAAUACUUCUUCAUGAUUCCCAACUACUAUACAACCUUCAUUCAAUACAGGAACAUCAGUGUUGCAUAAUUGGCGGAAAUUUCCCACGUUACUAAGAGUCAAUUCCUGCAUACACAGAAAUCCUAAUAAAUGUCAUAAAAACACACUAGAGUAAAUGUUACCCAUAAGUCUUCAUAAUUUUACAUAUUCCAAGUAAUAGAAAAUACUACUCUAAUCUCAAUGCUACAUGUAUCUUUGAUUUUUUUAAAGGAUAUGUUUUUUAAAUCUAAACCCCUAAAAUAUCUACCAAAUUAAUUAAACACAAAAGGCCAUACAAUGGAAUUCAUUUACAAAAGUAUGUAUAAAAGAGGAAUGAAUUAUCACAUGAACUAAGCAACAUAUCGAUUUUCUGAUUUGCUAUAGUGCAAAAUCCAUAUAUAAAAUGCGAACAAUCUAAAUACCUCUAUCAGCUGAGCUUGUACAAUGAAGCAUGAGAUUUGGGGACAAUUUGACACUUCUAAAUUUUUCAGAAAGGGCACAUUAAGUAGAAUGUGAUCACCAAGCACAUCCCUUUCUUCUUUCAAACUGAAGAAUUGUAGUAGUUGAGGGCAGUUCAGUAGGAAAACAGAUUCCAACAAUGGAAAUCCCUGAGUUAAAGUGUUUGCAAACACAUAUUUCAAUCGUUGGCAAUCCACUAUCCAGAGAGUUUUCAAUUUUGUCCAGCAAAGAUUCUACAUGAAUGAACCACAUAUUUAGAUAUUAUGCAAAAUAUAUGUGUAUAAAUAAAAGUGAGGAAUAUGAUUUAUUAAACAUAAUUGAAGUUUUAAAGAAUUUCUUUAUCAAAACAUAUGAAUAAGAAAUAAAUUGAUCUUCCAACGUAUCAGUUAUAAAGAAAUGUAUUUAUCAUAUUUCGCAACUAUGAUACUCCAACCACUUUAAAAUACUUAAUUAUGACUAUUAAAAAAAUAAAAAUAGAAUAUUCAUGGUAAUAGCCGAUGAGAGAGAGAGAGAAUUCUAAUUGCAGCUUCAAUUUUAAAAUAAAUGAAUUAUAAAUAACUUUUAAAAUAAGGUUGAAAUAUUAAUUAUUUUAUGAACAUAAAAAUGAAUUUGAGUCCAAAUACCUGUAAUCCAAAUCCAUCCUUAUUUUUUUCCGUGUUGAAGAUUUGUAUAAGUCGAGGACAAUCUUCUAUAUCAAUAGAUUCCAGGUAGGGAAAUCCUUGACUUGAACACAAAUAUUUCAAGUUUUCACAUCUUCUAAUUUUGACAACUUUCAAUUUUGGCAAGAACAGAGAAGACUGAUCUUUUAUGUUUGAAACAUCUAUUUCAUCCAUGUUUUCUGCUUCUCCGAUUAAAUGUUCUAAAGAGUAGCAAUCCCAAAUCCAAAGAAAUUGCAAAUGCACCAAAGUUCGAGCAGUGAUUUCCGAAAAGAGAUAUGUGAGUUUAUGACAUUCAGUUAUAUCCACACUACGGAGGUAAUGGUUCGGUCCGUUCCACAUGUACUUCAAUUCUGACAAUGAUAUUAACCUCAAAAAAGUUAAAUUUGUCAGAGAUUCCUGUCAUCCAAUAAUAUUUGUUAGUUUAAUCUAAUCACUAAAAUAAAUUGAUUGUACAAUGAUAUACACACUAAUUUUAAUAUCUCACAUAUAUUAUCAAAGCAAAACAAAAAUCAUAAUAAGGUAAAUUAAUUCAAUAAAUUUCUAAAAUAUAAUUAUUAUAUUACAUUAAAAUAAAAUAUUAAAGCGUAACAUCAUGAGAAAAUAAAUAUAUAAUAUUUCUCUAUUUUAAUUUUUAAUAUACAAAUAAUAAAGAGCGUGGCUCUUGAACAAAAGCUAGAGGCUGCAUCGGUUUGUUUGAAUACUUAGAAUUUCAAAAAUCAAUAAAUUACAAUUAUAAAAAGUAAUAAUAUGUAAUAUUCAUUAAAAAUAAAUGAAAGCAAAAAUACUCUAUGAAUUUUAAAAUAUUUAUCAUUAAAAGUACCUGUGAUCCAAGUUCAGGAAGCACAAUGUUUUGUUCCAUGUUGUAGACUUGUAUAAGUUGAUGACAAUUCUUUAUGUAAACAUAUUCCAAGGAUUGAAUCAAAGUGUUUGUAGAAAUAUAUUUCAAACUUUCACAAUCUUGUAUGUGAAGAAAUCUCAAUUUCGGCCAGCAAUAAAGAAGACAAUCAUUCUGCAUGUUUCAAACACAUUUUAGUAAGUUAUUUAUUUUAAAUUUCAUAUAGAAUCACAAAGUUCAUGACCCAAGAGAUUAUCUUGAGCAAUUUUGAAUCAAUCAAAUCUUCAAAAGAUAAUAUUUCAAGUGGCAUGUUCUUCUAUAAUGGGCUAAAAAUCAACCAUAGACUCAGUCAUAGCCCAUAAAAGUCAUUCAAUGAGUUGUCAAUAUAAUAAAUAUAUAUGGAAAUUAUCUCUAUAUUGAUUUGGUGCUCUAGGGAGUAGGCACUCCCUCGAACACCAAAAUCCUAAUUUCAUAUUUUUCAAUAAUAUCAAACCGACCUUGUAAGUUAGCAAUCCAAGGAUAGAAGAAAGGUGUGGCAUGGAAUUAAUUGAAGGCUUUUCUAUAAAGAAAUUAUAAAAUCUAAAUAAAAAGGAGAGACACAACAAUUCAUUAUGCAGUUUAUAAGCCUAUAAAUAGGUUUAAUAUAUUUGUGAUAUGUAUAAGCGAGCGUGUGGAUGAGAAGAAAAAGAAAGAGUGAAACAAAACAAAGGUGUGUGACUUUGUGUGCAUGAAAGUGGAAAUAAGCAAAGUGUGUAUAACUAGUUGUAGGUAGUAACUGAAAGGAAGAGGAAAAUAUAUUUGUAUUUUGCAUUGGUGUAUUUGUUUUGAGUAAUAAAAGCUACUUUCUUUAGUGGCCACUAUGCUUCCAACAAACCCGAUACACAUAAAUAAUAUAAAAAUAAAUACCAAACCAAGCACUUCACUUCAAAUUGGUUUUUGGUUUUCUUGCAAUUUGUUUCAUCCUUAAAAGAAUGCUAUCAUAAAGCUAAAACAAUUAAGAAGAUUAAAAAAAUUGGAGAGAAUAGGUAUCCCUACCUCAAUAAUCUCGUCUUCUUGGCCAAAACCAAUGACUUGCUCUAGUCGAUCGCAGUACCUUAUAUAAAGUUCUUCUAGAUGCAACAUACUUAAAGCUAGGCAAGGUGAGAAGAUUGUUUUCAGAUUAUCACAAUAGUCAAUUCUUACAACCUUUAGACUUUGGAGGCUUGCAAUUGCACGAUGGGAUUGCUUUACUUCCCAUAUCCUCUCCAAUUUCGGCAAUGAAUAUAGUUUCAAUAUUGUUAAAUUUGAGAGCAAUGGUGCCUGACAUUUCACUUUUUCAGAAAGUUUAUCCAUUUGAAAUAUCACUUGUAACUCUUCACAACGUUCGAUGCUCACUUGCUUAAGGUUUUGCAAGAACCUACUCGGAGAAACACCAUAGCACAACCCUUUCAAAGAAACCAUGCUUUCUAUAUUUAAUUCCACCAAAUUAGAGAAUGCAACAGUUGACCCUUGAUCCUUUUUUGUAUCAAUCAAGAAUUCCAUAUCAUUGCAAGAUUCUAGAUGCAGAGAAGUCAACUCAUUUACUCCCAUUUCAUCUAUGCUUGGCACAAUAUUCUUUUGUCCACCAACAUUCCUCAAACUCAACUCUUCCACAUUGCAAAAUAAAUUGUUAAAUGCACUUAUUGAAGAUGAGAAAUUUUGAAUAUUCAAUCUUCUAAACGCCUCCCGAUCGCUACUAUAAUAUCCUCCAACUAUAUCGUACCUUUGUAGUUUAGGGAGCACAAAAUCUUCUUGAGGAAUUUGAUUAGUAGAAAGUUCCAGUGAUAGUGCAGUUAAACGAGACAAUGACUUCAACUCCAAUAAGUUGAGAUUAUUUUUGGUUUCGACAUACAACUCUUGUAGUGAAGUCAACCUAUUAUAUUCAUAAAGAAAGUAGCAUUAAUUGAAAAUUUAUGUGACACAAUCCACAUUCCAUGAGGUAAAAAAAAAUUGUAAUUCCUUGAAGUAAUUCAUAAAAAAGAAAUAUGUAAAAAAAAAAAAGAAGACAAAAACUUGAAAUAAAUCAAGAUAAGUAAUAAAAGGACACUAUUAAAAUUAAAUAAAAAAAUCUCUAAAUUUUUUUUAUCACUUUCAAAGAAAUUUUCAAGAGGUUAAUUUUUUUUCUUUUUAACAAUUUAUCUCAAAAUUUCUGGGUCUAAAACAUAAGUAAUUUUUCUGGUUUUUUUAUAAUAAUUUUUUCACUCUCAAAUUUUAUAAAAAAGUCAUUUUACCCUUCCAUUUAAAAGUCAUUUUACCCUUCUAUUUAAAAUUUCACCUUUUAUAACCCUUAAAUUUAUGGUUUUUUUGUUAAAUCAUCUCAAAAUGAAUAGAAAAGUUAAUGUUUUUAAAAUUUUGCUGAUGUUGAUAUACGUGAAUUAACACAUGAAUAACACAUUAUCCAUAAUAUAUAUAUAUAUAUAUAUAUAUAUAUAUUAAAACAUAUCUAAUAGUAAAAAAAAUUAAGCAUUUAUCUUGAUGUUUUAUUAAAAUUUAAAGUCUUUAUUGUAUUAAACUUCCUUAAUUAAUUUUUAUUGAAUAUUUUAUAUAUAUAUUUUAUAUUUACUUUAAUAUAUAUAUAUAUAUAUAUAUAUAAAACACUUAAUUAUAGUUAAUAAAAUUUUUUAUUUUCCUUGGCAACCCACAUAUCUAUCCACAUACACUUCAGAAAUUAUAUUAUUUGUCUUAUAUGAAUAAUUUUAAAUUUAUAAAAAUAUUCAAAAAAUAAAAAAAUUGAAAUUCAAAAAAAUAAAAAAAAACUAUAAAAUUAAAAAAAUAUAGCAUGAAGUAAGUAUGGAUUGGAAUGUGGGUGUUCAUGUUUAAAAACUUAACAUUUUAGUUAGUAUUUCCGUUAAAAAAUAAUUCAACAUUUUUUAAAAGGUUGAUGCUAUUUUUUAAAUGUCCAUAACCAAAUUUAAUUAAAAACCGAAUAAGGACUAAAUUGAUAAAUGAUGUCAAAACUAGUAUACUAAAAUUAAAAAUACCAAUUAAAGUAAUUAAGAGGAAAAUAAAUUAUGUCAAACCAAAUACGAAUAUGAUAAAAAGAAAAUUAAAUCUGAUGCACUCUUACCUUGAUACCAAAUUUGGGGGGAUAUUCAUUUCUUUUUCAACUCCAACACCAGAAAGACAAAAAUAUUUCAGUGCAGACAACUUCACUAAUUCUUCACUUAUCUCAUCAAUUUUAGUGCCAAUCAAUGCAAGAAUCUCAAGGCUUCUCAUAUUUGUCAGUGAUGAUGAGAAGUUUUCCAGCUCGCAAUCCACACAACACAAAGUUUUAAGAUUUGGUAAGGAAGGGAAUCCUUUCAGUGAGAAGCUGACACAUUUGAGAAGUAAAACUUGGAGGGCUUUCAUUUCUUCAAAAAAUGUACCGAAAACCACUAGGAAAUUAUCAUCUCGGUUCCUCUUCCACUCACCCUCUAAAAACAAAGUUUUGAGCUUUGAAAAUUCCACUUUAUCAGGAAAAUUUUUUAUGAUACUACUACAAUUCCAUAAUGCGAUUGCAGUAUAACUUUCAUCCAUAUGAGGCCAUUCUUUCAACUUAUCUUUUACCAUGAACCUAUUUUCUCCCGUUGAUGUUAGCCAAUGAGCAAAAUCUCGAAUCACAUCAUGGAUUCUAAUCGUAUCUGCACCAUCAGUUUCCAAUAACAAGCCAGAUUUUUGGAGUUUUUUUAGUGCUUCAAUAAUUUUCUUCCUUUUAUCUUCAAUCGAGUAAACAUUAGGGAACAAUCCUACUCCAAUUCCGCACAUAAUCAAUAUCUCAAUACUGAUUUCUUUAUCUUCAGGAAAAAGGGAACACAGUAAGAAACACAUUUGGAUGUGAUUUCCCGUCAUUUGGUUAAUGCCUUUCUUCAAGUAAUCGUAGCUAAGCUUAAGAGGCUCGAUGACACCCCCUAGGACUUCUUCAUCAUACAAAUGCGUUGAGUCCUUGAAUCUCUGAUUUGCGUCUCUCCACCCAUUUAAACUCUCACCUUUUAAAGCUUUGGCCACGACAACAAUUGCAAGAGGCAAUCCCUUACAUUGAGCAGCAACCUCUUUGGCUACAUCAUUCAAGGUGGAACAAUCAUCUUCUAAACCAGUUUUAUCUCGAAAUAAAACCCAUGCUUCGUCUUCGGAUAAGAUGUCAAGUUGAAUUUCCUUACAGUUCAUUUUAGUGCAGACUUGUUGACGACGUGUAGUCAGAAGAAUUUUACAACCCUCGUGUUCAUCACCGAAUGGAAUUCCGAUUCUCUCCAUUUUGAAUUCUUCCCAGAGGUCGUCGACAAUUACGAGGAUUUUGUUCACGCGUUGCAUACUCCUGAAUAGCUCUUCUGCUCUUCCUUCUUCUGUAUUUGUAUGAAAAUUUAAACCAAACAUCUCUGCAACUUUAUCUUGAAUUGUUCUGAUGUUUGGAUUUUGGGACAUAGUAAACAUCACAACUUUAUCAAACAACUUUUGUUCUCGAGCAUGCUUCCCAACUUCUUUGGCUAAAGUUGUUUUACCAACUCCUGGCAUUCCGUGCAGUCCGAUCAUGUUGACACCCUUAGCAUUUAUAGCCUCCAUGAUCUGGUUGAAAGCUGAUUGUGAAGAUUCAGAGUCCAUGAAAUCAGCGGAUGUGAUGAACUCUAUGCCUUGAAGAGGACGACGAUAGCCCACCUGUGCAAAGUUAGAAGUCUCAAAAAGUUUAGAGAUAAUAGGAGUCUUCUUUGCCAGUUUCUUACUUAAGGAAUAUCGCCAGCCCCAUUUAGGACACCAUUUGAAACACUUGACGCGAUCUAUUUCAUCUUGCAAGUUCUGGGUUUCUUCCAGUUCUUGCUCAGCACUUCUAAGCCAGUUCUUAACGUCAUCAUAGAUGAUCUCAGUUUGCCUUUUAGCCUCAUCGACAUCAGUGUCCACCCUCUGUUUCGUCAAUUUAAGUGCCAUUCGUUGAUUCUUGAAAUCUUCAACAAUCUGUCCAUAACGGAAAAAGUAACGGAGAUAAGGUGAUGCGAAUUCCUUUGCCUCGUUUGCCACAAUUCUGACAGCAGCAGGGGCAACAUAUUCGGCCAUUUUUGUUGAUAGUCUGAUGAGAUUGAAAAAAAAAAUUGGUUAUUAGUAAGAAGAUUAACAUAAAGAGAAAUAAAAGCAAUUGUGACAUAUAAAAUCAGUAUUUGUAGUAAAAAAUCGAGUGGAAGCUACCAAAUAAGAAGCUGUAAAUAUUGAUGUAAAGCAAAAAUGUUGUUAUUGAAGAAGGUAGAAAAUACCUCUCUUUCUGUCUGUGAAUACCAGAAAGUAAAAAGAGCUUGAGAGAAAUAAGUAGCUGUAAAAGAUGAAAAGAAUUGAUUUAGCGCAGGUAAUAGAAAAAUAAUAAUAAUAAAAUUGAGAGCAUGUUUUAACCUUCAUAUCACAAAUAAAUAAAUAAUUAAUUAAUGUAAUGCAAAUAAUAUAACCAUACAUGCACACUCAAUCCUAAUUACUCUUCCCAUUGUAUUCAUUCUAAAUCGGAGCUAUAAUUUGUAUGUGAAAUACCAUCAUAUUCUUUUAAAAACAAUUUCUCAUAAAGAAAUCCUAAAAAGGAUUACAUUCUCUUAAAACAUAUUUUCUAUUUAUUUCUACAUUUUCGAUUAUAGAUUGGAUGCUUUUAAGUUCCUAUAGAAUUAGAGUUUGUGUGCUCUCUAAAAUGUUUAAUGAAAAAAAACGAGAAAACUAAUGAAUGGAGAAAGGACACUCUUCAUUUGCCCCUUUCCUGUUUGAUCCGCAUGUUAUAUACUUCAACUCUGAGUAAAAUCUGAUUCGAUUCGAAAAUUUUGAUAAAAAAAUUUAAAUUUUGAUUUAACUAGUUCAAGUUAUUUGAGUUAAUUAAGUUAUUCGGAUAAACUCGAAUUAACUAGUUCGAGUUAUUUGAGUUAAUUAAGUUAUUUGGAUAAACUCAAAUUGACUCGAAUAUGAAUUACAGAAUUCGAGUUAUCCGAAAAUCCGAAUUAGAAAAGAUAAAACUAUGCCAUUUUGAUAAAUGUGUACCUUUCUAAAGUUAAAAAUCAAAACCAUUAAAUUAAAAGGUAAAAUUACAUCAUUUUGAUAAAUAUUUACUCAUUAAGUUAAGAGGCAAAACCAUUAUAUUGUUUAUGUAGUUAAAUAAUAUUGUACUUCGUCUGCUAGUUAAAUAAUCGGUCCAUGUAAAUGCAAUGUUGAAUAUAAAUAAUAGGAUUGGUUAACUCGACUCAACUUGACUCGAAAUUUUUUACUCAAUUUGAUUUGAUUAAAAAAAAUCAAAUUGAAUUUAUCAACUCGACUAACUCGAAAUUUUUCGAUUCGACUCUACUUAAUCAAAUACUCACCCUAGUUCCAAUGUUCUUGUUCUAGUUUGUUCAAUCUUUAAAAUGAAUCUAUAAACUCUUUAAUUAAGACGGAACUUGUAUGAAACCUUUUUUUAUGAAAAAUAAAAUCACAAGUGAUUUAAAAUGACUUCAACCAAACUAAUAGAAAUUUGAGAAUGCCAAUAAAUAAAACGGAGAUCCACUCAACAAAAACAUGAAAACAUAUAGCAAUGAGGAGCAGUUCCUCAAAACUUACCUUCACUGAACUAUCCUCUGCGCUGUUUCUUUUGCCAAGUGGAAAUCAAGGUAUGAAGAAAGUUUGGUUUUCAGAAAUAAAAGAAAUUUUGCAGGUUUUUUUUUCCCCCCUUAAUUGAGACAAUACAAGAAUAUGUGAAGACUGGAAAACAAAUAGUGGAAAUUAUCACACACAGAUUUUUUUUUUUUUUUUUUUUUUGGUGAUGAUCACAGACACAGAUUUCAGAAUAUGUAAGCAAAAAAGGAAAUGACCACAAACACAGAUUUGAGAAUAUGGAAGCAAAAAAGGAAAUGAUCAGAAACACAGAUUCGAGAAUUAGAAAGCCAAAAACAAAGAGUGGAAAUGAUGAGAAACACAGGUUUGAGAACUUGGAAGCAAAAAACACUUUGGAUGAGGAAGAAGAAUGGGAAGUCGUUGGUUUAACUUUUUUUUAUUUAAAUUCAUAAAACAAAUUAUUGUUCAUCAUUCUUUUCUUUAUUAUAAUAAAAUAAUCAUUAUUUUUAUUACCAUUAAAGUCAAUGUCUUUGUUAAUGUAAAAUUCCAUUUUUUAUAUUUUUAUUUAUUUUAAUUACCGUUAACAUUGAAGUUUUUAUUGAAGUAAAAUAUAUAAAGCUGCUUUUUGUUAUUGAAUAUUAUAAUAUUUUAUAUAUACUUUAAUGUAUAGUUAAAUCAUUAUUAAUAAAAAUUUGAUAAUUUAAUAUAUAAAUGUCUAUUAUUUUAUUUAUUUUCAUUACCACCAAUCGUGAAAUUUUGACUUAGUGGCAAAGAGUAUUAGGUAGUAAGCACGAGAACUUGGGUUCAAUCCCAAAGAACCCUAACCCUUACCCUCAAAUUUGUUGAGAAAUGUGUCUAUAUUGUAGUAAAUAUGCAAUUAUUUUCUAUGUACUUGAACGAUAAAUAAAUAAAAUUAAUUUCACAUUUCACUAUUAUAUCUUUGUGUUUUUGUCUUUAAUAUUUUGCAUAAAUAGAAAAAUUAUGAUAAACAAAUGUUAGCUUAAUGAUUUUCUAAGUUCAAACUGAUGAUAAGUGGCAUUGUAAGAACGUUUACAUUACAAGAAAGACAGCUUACAUUAAUAGGUAAUCUAAACGAGUUCAUAAUUCUGUAAAAGAAUCAAAGAGUGAAUUUGAUUCAAAUACUUAAAAAAAUUAUUAUGUCAUCUACAAUUCUAAUUAGGGAGAUGACUAAUUUUAUCUAUCGCAACAGUUGACACCAUGGGUAAAAACAUAGAUAUACUCAUUGGAAGACUGAUAUAUUGAAUUAAAUCUAAGUUGAAUUAAUACUGAAUCUGUUUGUGAAUUAAUUCACAUCUAACAUUCAUGGUGUGUGACCUACCGUCAAUUGUGGUGGUAGUUUUAGUACAUUUCGACACUUCACGAACUUGUUUUCUGGCUAUUUUAUAUUUAUUUAUUACAUUUUCAGCUUUCGCAAUUUAGAUUUAAUUAUUUACAAAAUAAGUGUUUUUACAUACUUUUUAAUAUUUUGAAAUCUCAUAAGGCCAACAUGGAUCUUGAGGGCGACUAAUAGGCUACUUGAGUGUGUCGGGUGUCAAUUCAAGCCCUAAAAUAUAAAGGACAACGGACUUCAUUAGGAAACUUUUGACUUAAAUUCCUUUUUUUUCUUGAAAUAGACACAGUACCCCUAAUUUUUCCAAGUUGAUAUGAACUAUAACUUGAUUUGCUUUAGAAUUUAUAUGAAUUCUAAUUUUUUUUCUUGAAAUAGGUACUAUGGGCUCACUAUUAAUAUUUAAUUUAUUUUUACUCUUUUUUUAGUAAAGUCCUAAUUUUGUUAAAACACAUUAUUUUCAAAUUAGACCUCUUAAUUAGAUUUUGUUUUAGAUUAAUACAAUAUACCUAAUUAUUCUAAACUCCUAAAUUUUAGGUUGUUACAAUAUGAAUUCUAAAUUGAUUUACCCAUAAAAAUAAAUAAAUCGAUCUCUCGGACUAAAAUAUAAAAGAAAUUAAAAUAAUUUAUAAAAAUCCAAAGAGGAAUAACCAUGGUUAAGCCGUGUAUUUAGAGCAUUAAUUUGAAUUUGAGUUUAGUUUUCUUUAUGCUCCUCAAUUAAUGGAAGAAAAGAAUAGUGAGAAAUUACUACUUACCGAGAUUGUGGGUUUCUUCACUCCUUUUUAGGAAUUGUCAAUGAAUUCCUCACGCGGUCACCUUUUUAUUAUUUUUAUGAUGAAUAAUUAAUUAUCAAGAGUCUUCACCACUUUCGCCUGGGACAGGCAUCGUUGAUGAAUUAUUGAUGCUGCUACUUGUUACUAUUUUUAUGAUGAAUAAUUAAGUACGAAGGGUCUUCACCACUUUUGCCAGUGGGAAAGGUAUUGUUGAUGAAUUCUUCACGUUGUUGUUUCUAUUAUUUUUAUGAUGAUUAAUAAAUUAUCAAGAUCCUUCACCAGUUUCGCCACUGCGACAGGCAUUGUUGACGAAUUAUUCUGUUACUUUCUAUUAUUUUUAUGAAGAAUCAUUACGUAUGAAGAGUCUUCACCACUUUUGGUAGUGAGACACAGGCAUCGUUGAUGAUUUCUUCACGCUCUUACUUUUUCAUUAGUUUUAUGAUGAAUAAUUACGGAUGAUGAUAAGACAGAGGUGAAAAGUUGAUUUUCUUUUUAAGAAGCAAUUUUUAGGUUUUUUUAAUUUAAGAUUGGAAGUAACUAAGAAAAGAAAAUAAGGUAUGUAAACCUACGUUCUUGAAUGUGUUUUCUUUUUGAAAUGCUUAUAAUGUUAAAUUUUUGAACAGUUUUCUAUUAUUUUUUUACAACGAAUGAAGAAAAAAAAGAAAAAGAAAAUACGGUGUAUAUAUAUAUGUUUUGUUUACAGUGAUAUGAUUGAGGGGAAAUGUCGAUUUCCAUUGAAUUCAUACUUGAAAAUAGAAAUCACUGUCUGAGACUUUGGACGAAAAAAGAAAAUAAUGCCAAGGACACUGUUAACAGUUCAAACUUUAUUUUCCCUUACUAUGGUCUUAAAUUGUUUUUUAUCAUUUUGAUUUUUAAUCUCUAAAAUUAUAUGAAAAUGUUAUAUUUUGGAUGCAUGGAAAAUAUUGAACUAAAAUGAUACCAUAUAAACAUUGUAAAUGAGAUACUAUUUUGUGGGUUCAUCAAAUCCCUCAAUGGAUGUGUAAGAAUCAACUUCCAAUGUGGCCACGUGUUGGAAAAAUCUAGUUUAAUAAAACAGUUUUCUGUCACGGUGAAAAAUUAAAAUUUUCAAAAUUGAGUUAGUUUGUAAUAUCUAUAGCAAUAAUUUUUUUUCUAAAAAUACGUGUAUUUUGCGCAAGACAGAUCCUAGACGUUCUCAGCAUUCAAUCGAAUAGCCUUCUCUGCUAUCCUUGUACUACGAAAUACUUCGAAUGUGGGCUCGAACAAUCAUGAACCAAGCACAAAAUCAAAAAUAAUUUAUUACUUUUAGUAGGAAGGUAAUUCUCUUUACAAUAAAAACCGGCAAAAUUGUUAUUCCCAUAAAGAUAUAAUUUAUUAUUAGAAAAUAAAUAUUCACAACUUUAUGAUAGAUUAACAAUAUUGAAAAUUUAUGUGAAAGUUUUAUGAAUAGAUCUACCAGUGUCAUCUAUUUAUAAGGAAAUAUAAAAAAAAUCCUAGUAGAAUUAGUAAAACACAAAUAAUAUUUAUUUAAUAGAAAAUUUAGUCUUGUAGUUUAACUAGAAGAGGGGGAGGGGGCACUCCCUAUUUAAGUACACUAGGAAUACUGCCUUCAUAUGUAAUAUGAGAGAGAUUUGGGCAUUUACUAUAUUGAGUUAAAUUAUUUGUGCUUUCUGGAUUUUAACCUAGCACUUUAUAAUUUAAUUCAACUCAAUACAUAUUUUUCAAUUUCUCAAAAUAAAUAUUGUUUAUUUAUUUAAUUUAAUUAGAUAAAUUAAUUUUCUAAUUAAAUAUUUUUUAAUCUCAUUCUAAUUGCGUUAAAGUAACAGAAACUUAACUUUAUUGUAAAAUAAUUUAUGUGGAAAUAUAUUUAAUUUCUAUUUUCAACGGAUUCACAAUGGUUACUUAAAUUAAUUCCAUUUUUGAACUUCAAUUCUUUAAUUAAAUAAUAAUUCAAAAACCUUAAAUUAAUUUUCAAGUCAUUUCUACACUCAUUGUAAAAAGACACAUUCAUUUGUGAAUGUGACCCAUUUAUCUAAUUUUAUCAUUUCUAUUCAUUUCUUUUCAUUUGGUUUUAUAUGCACCUCAUUUUUUUGUUUCAACGAGUUAACAAAGGUACCAAUUGGACAUAUGCAAUUAGGGUUCAAAUAAUUUGUAAUUAAGUUCCAGCUUCUUAUCUAUUAAUUAUAAAUUUAUUUAGUCACGAAGUUAUUCCAUUAUAGUAUUGUGAUUGAGCUCUCCCUUAUUACAUACCAUUACGAAAACUACUUAAUCAGUCCUCGUCCAAUGAUAUAGUCAUAAGUGUGUUACCCUCAUAGGAUAUCAUUAAUCUCUUUGAGAUAAAUUUAUUCUCCCAAUAUGAUCUUAUUUUAUGUCAUGGUAAUCAUUACAUCUUUCUUCAUGAAAAGUCAAUUACUAUUAAAUAGUAAUCAUGUCGUUUAUCACAAAGAAAAACGAAGUGUAGUCACAUUUACUUUUAAUCUAUUAUGUAAUGCCAUUUAAAGGAUACCAUUUACUCAUUUUUUGAGCUUUGAAUUCCACUAUUUUGAAUAAUGCUAUAUAAUGUACAAGUCGUAUACCCAACACACCAACUUUCAGUUCCUUAUCUAUUUGGACUCAAGCUUUUACUUACAUCAAAGUAUAAAAGACACGCAUACAUAGUCCUUCAUCCACUCAGGAUUAAGGUAUGCCACACUACGAACAUCACAAGUGAGUGAAUCCAUAAACGGAUAUAAAAUGUAUUCUACUUGGGUCUUGUCCGAUGUGUUGUCAAUCCAGUUAGUCACAUCUAUAUCUCUAUCUUUUGGGAGUCAUCUGCUUUGAAGCUCAAAACAAAACUUGUCCCCCAUUACACUUGAUAGACAACAUAUUAGUCUUUCAAUCGGUUUGCUAAUUUCCAAUUAGACUAAGGACAUGUUUAGGUUCAUCUAUUAAUAAAAAUUAUUUUUCCAUAUUACAAUCCGACUACGUAAUAUCACUUUUAAAAAUAGCAUAACAUAACUUAAUGAAUAUAACAAUUACCAUUUGAUCAUGACUGAAAUUUUAAACUUAAAAAAAAAUUAAGAUUGAAAAUUUAUCAAAAUAAAAUAUAAAAAUUAAAUAUACAACUUACAAAAGAUACAAAAAUUAUUAAUAAAAUUUAACUAUUUAAAUUAUAAAUAGAAUUUAAUCAAGUCUUACUUUUGAAAACUUUUAGAGUUAUUGAUUUCACUUUAAUUUGUUUAUUUAUUUUAUUUUUACUUUUAGAAUGAAAUAAUAGUUGAAAGAAGACAGAAUGAUGUCAAAAGGAUUUUUAAAUUCGAAAGAUAAGCAAGAAAAAGUGAUUAUUUUAUUUAAAAGAAACAUGGUGUUUACUUAUAAUUUAUCGCUUCAAUUCUUCAAUACCUUUGCUAUCUAAGAUACCAUUAUUACUUUUUCUUUUUUUUUUUUCAUUUUGGUAAUAAAUUUUUUAUCAUAAAUAGUACAUAAGUUAUUUUUUUCUACGUUCACAUUUUGUUAAUCAAAUAGUCAAACAAACCAUUAAAUCUAUUUAAAAACAAUUUUAACCCUUAAAUUGGUACCAAAACUCUGUCAUUUUUCUAAUUUUGAUACUUAAAUAAAAAAAUUUUAUCACAAAUGCUACUUAAAUCAUUUUUUCCCCAAGUUGAUACCUAUGUUAUUAAGCUAACUGUUUAGUUUAUAGAUAGAGUUUCAUUAAGUCUUAUGUUUUAGAAUAUUUUAUUUAAAAUAUCUUAAUUAGUGGAAGAUAAAGUCUUAUGUUGAUAGCAUUGCCAAACAUUAUAAAGGAAUAAGAAAUAAAUAUAAAAAAUAAAUAAAAGAGAGAGAAAACAUGUAAAAAAAGAAUUAAAAUUUAUUUUUUAAAGUUUAUAUGAUGUAGCAUUCUAUAAUUGGUUGGAAUUUUUUUAAAGGAUAAAACAAUUUGGUGUAAAAUGGGUAACAAAAGAAUAGUUUAUAUACCGGUUGUGGUUAAAAAAAGUUUAGAUACCAACUUGGAAAAAGAGAGUAUUGUUUAGGUAGUAAUUUGUGGGUUAAGUUGUUUUUUAAAUAAACAAAGAUUUACCAUGAUUGCAAUUUUAGAGAGACGCGAAAGCGAAAGCCUAUGGGGUUGCUUCUGUAACUGGAUAACCAGCACUAAAAAUCGUCUUUACAUCAGAUGGUUUGGUUUUUGAUGAUCCCUUUUUGACUGCUACUUUUGUAUUUAUUAUCGCCUUCAUUGCUGCUACUCCAGUGUUUCUAGAUCUCUACUUUAUGGAAACAAUAUUAUUUUUGGUGCCAUUAUUCCUACUUCUACAGCUAUAAGUUUGCACUUUUACCUUAUUUGGGAAGCGUCAUCCUUAUGAGUUAAUUGUUUUACACUUCUUACUUGGUGUAGCUUGUUACAUGGGCCGUGAGUGGGAACCUAGUUUUCGUUUGGGUAUGCGGCCUUGGAUCGCUGUUGCAUAUUCAGCUCCUGUUGUAGCUACUACCACCGUUUUCUUGAUCUAACAUGUGAAACGGAUACAUAGAUUGCUUAGAGGUCCAAGGUUUAAACCACACCUCUCUCAUUUUUCCAUUUUAAAUUUUUAGCAACCCAGGAUAAAAGCCACACUAAAAUAAAUAUUAUUUAGAGUGAAAUUUAUUAAGAAAUGGGUAGCAAUCCAAUGGUUAAACACUUACUCCUCUCCCAUGCAGCCUCUUCAUAUUUGAAAACUCUAGUUAUUUAUUCCCUUUUUCCCUAAUUACACUAGGAUUAUGUUUCUUUUUUCGUUCCAAUUAGAAUUUCUCUUCUCUCUCCCUAUUUCUUCUCAUAUUUCUUUUCCAUCAACUUCUUUGCAUCAAAUUUUCUCUCCAUUGCUGAAACUAUUUUUGCUCUCGAUAUCAAAUCAAUCCUCAACAAUUCGAUUCUCUACCAUUUGUUGAAUUUAUCUUUGAUAGCUUCCGUAAUUCCAUCAAGUACGGUAAGUGCCUCUCGAUCUAAAGUUUAGGACCCCAAAUUUCAUAAUUUUUUUAUCCGAUAUUGAUCUUACAAAUCAAUUAGUCAAUCUUUCACGGUUCUUGAAAAACCUAUCGUUAAUAUACAAAUGUUAACUAUUGUAUAAUUGUCGUUUGAAGGACCCAAUUUAGGGAUCUCGAAUCAGAUUUGAACAUGAGGGACAUCGCUCAAGAUCUCGAUGAAUCGGGAAAAAAUCGUGCCAAUGAUAACACCAUAGAGUCUUCCACACAAGUGUGUGGGUUACACAGCCCCUCACACGACCAUGUCCCCUUAAAACCCAAGGAUCUUCGAUUCUCACAUGGCCUAGGACCCUUCAUAUGACUGUGUCUCCCUUACACCCUGAUUUUGCCUGAUCCAUACUGCCACAGCCUGUCACACGAUAAUGUAACCCCUUCAUGUGACUGAAGGCAUUGCAUACGGCCAUGUGCCCCUAUUUAAAUUAUUACCUAAAAUUUUAUGAUUUGUUCAGUUUAGUCCCUGAAUGGUUUUUAAACUAUUUUUUAAUGUUUUAUUUUUAUUCAAUUAAGUCCUUGAUAAUAUGGAAAAUGCUAGAAUCCAUGACAUAAUUGACUAAAUUAAUGUUAUAUAUAAUUGCUUGUAUUGUGAAUGAUAUAUAUGUUUAUUAUAUAAACAGAGCCAAGUUGUGCUCUAUCUAUAAGUAUAAACAUAUAAUCAAAAUAAAUUUCACUUCUUCUUGAAUGAUUUGAUUACAUAGAGAGUAAUAUUCUUUAGAUCUUAUGCAUGUUUUGAGUUAUAUAUAAGAAUGGAUGCAAUAUUAUAUAUUUGUUAUAAAUUGUUUUAUAUUGUCAAGGUUGUGGUUAGGAAAUAGACCGCGGACAAUCAUCUCAAUGUAAGGCUAUUUUUUUUAAAAUUCAUAGAAUUCUUGUGAAUGAAAACGGACAGAAGACUUAAAUCACUACAAGAAAUAAAGCUUUUAGAGGCAUUUUUAGUGGCGUUUGGACCAAAAAUGCCGUAAAAGUUAUGCAUUAGUGGCGCUAAUUGAAAAACACCACAAAAGGUCAAGCAGUAGCGGCAUUUUUUAUAAAAAAUGCCGCAAAAAAUCAUUUUAUUUUAAACAAAACGGCGCCAUUUUGCUCCCUGUAUUCUCACCCAUCAUCCAAGUGGCCAUCAUGUAUUGAUCUUUUCGACAACUCAUGCACUGUUUUAUCCUCUUCUAUUUAUUAUUUAACUAGUUUCUUUAUAUUAAUUGAAAUACAAUUUAUUUUUAAUUUAAUAUUAAAAAUCUUCAGAAAAAUUAAUGACACGUAAAAAACAUUAGAAAGUAAAAACAUAGAAAAAUAUAUGUUAAAAAUGAAAAAAAUGAAAAUACUAUUAUUUAAAAUACUAUUAUUUAAAAUAAUUUUAUCUGCUGUAACAAACUGACUUCUAACUAGAAGAGAUUUUGAUUGGGGAUUCUAGUUUACAGAGAGGCUUGACUCCUUUUGUAGAUGAUGGCCUAAUUGAGAUAGUUGGAUUUAGAAAUGUCCUGCAUGGUCUUGUUUUGCUUGCUCCAAAUGGACAUGAGACUCAUUUAGCACCGGUAGAAUAAGAAGGUUCAUGACUGGUUUGCACUUUUUGACCUUAGGGAUUUUGAAAUUUUGGAGAUUAGACUGUAUUUGGGAAUUUGAAGAUAUAGCGGAAAUUGUAGCUCCUAACCAUAUAGGUUCAUUAAUUAUGAGGUUAGAUCCUUCAUUAUUGGUAUAUAAAUUGUCGAAACCAUUUUUUUGAUAAAAGCGUCGACUUUUUAAAUUAUGAUAAAACAGGAGUCGCCACCGAUCUUUUAUUGAAGUAUGAUCGGAUCACCUUGAAAAUUUUUUUGGUCUACGAGUUUCAAAAAAAAAAAGGGGUUCGGGAGUCAGUUAUGUGUGAGGAAGGAUUAGCACCCCCGUAACGCCCAAGAUUGGCACCGAAUCGAUUUAUUAAUAUCUCAAUGUCAAAAUUUUGAAAGGAUUUUUAAAAUACGAUUCCCCUUAAAAAAACUUGAAUAAAUUGAAUUAAAUGCUAAGACCCUUUGUUUUGAAGAAGUCAAAUGUAAUACCCAGUGAGUUAGGAUACAACAUUUCUAAUUCUCGAAAUUAAACUUGCCUUCUGACUUUAAAAACUCAUGAUUUUAGGUUUGAGAAGGAUACUCGGAUAUUUAGGUGAAAUGAAAAAUCGGAACCUAGUGAGUUAGGGUUCAAUUUCUCAAAAUUCUCAAAUACAGAAUAUUGCCUGCUUUUUUUGAAAUCCUUACCUCGAGGUAACAAAAUGUCACAUCCCGUGAGUUAGGAUACAACCCUUUUGGAAUUCCCGAGAUAAAUUUUGGUUUUUGAAAUUGGUACGAUUUUAUUGAAAAAGGGAUACUCGGCUAUUUAAAUUCAACAAAAAAAUUGAAGCCCAGUAAGUUAGGGCACAAUCUCCUCGAGAAUCUUGGACCCCGAGUAUCUUGAAAAUUUUGGAAUAAAACUACUUUAAUGUUUUAAUGAAGCGUAAUCUUCAAAACAAAUGUAGUGCGAUUAAUGGUAACGCAUAAUACGAAAGGAUAAUUUGUAAAUAAAACAUAGACCAAGGAAUGAUGAAUAAAUAAUAAAAAAAUUCAACAAGCUUAGCAAUGAUUAUCUCAUGCGAACACCAACAUUAGCUAAUAGGAGGAAACUAAUUUAAAAUUGAGCAAAUUUACAUAAACACCAAUAAAGUGUACAAGUUUAAACACCAUUUAAGAAAAAAAAUGACAUGAAAGAAGGUAAAUUGAAAUUAAUAAAUUAUAUUUAAAUGAAUAACAUGUAGAAAAAUUCGAAAUAAAUUUUACAUGAAAUUGUAAUAUGCAAAUGAAUUCUAAAGUAAAUAUGGUAUAUAAGUAGAAAAUUAAAAUUUAUAAUAUAUAAAACAAUUAAUACACAUAUUAAUUUAAAUAAAUAAUGCAUAUUAAAUGAAGAGUUUGAUAAUAAUAAAAACAAUAAUAUAUGUACAUAAUAAAAAUACAAUAUGGUUGAAAUAUACAAAAUAAGUAAAGGAGGUUUAAAAAUAAAUAAAUUAUAAAUGUAAAAGCCAAAAGAUGAUAAUUAUAAUAAGGGUAAACUACUAAAAUAGUCACUUUUGUUUGGUUCAGGUUACGUUUUAGUCACUUAUGUUAUCAUGUUGUAGCAUUUUUGUCACUGAGCCGUUAAUUUCUAUUAACUCUGUAACAAUAAGCUAAUGUGGCACAUUAAAUCAUCAUUUCAAACAAAAAUUCUAGGUUAAUUUAUACAAUCGGUCCCAUAUUUUUUUCUUUUAUGUUUUUUUAACUUUCUUUCUUUUCCAUUCUCUUAUGCUUCUCCCUUUGUUUUCCUCCUUUCUCCAUUUAAUUUCUUUCAACGUAUUUGUUUUCCUCCUUUCUCCAUUUCUUUCAACGUAGUUUUGCUAUGUUUUAUUUUUUUGACCAAUUUAAUUUUUCCGAGUGAGGCGAGCUUGUGGACUAGUUACAGAUGGAAAACAUAGAAAAACUAUGUUAAAAGAAAUGAAGAAUAGAGGAAAAUAGAGGGAGAAGCAGAAGAGAAUGGAAAAAAAAAGUUAAAAGAACUUAAAAGAAAAUUUUAAAAUUGUUUAAAAUGAAAAAAUAUAGGGACCAAUUGUAGAAUUUAACCUAAAAUUUUUGUUUGAAAUGAUGAUUUAACAUGCCACAUCAGCUUAACAUUACACCAUUGUUGGCAAUUAACGACUCAGUGACUGAAAUGUUACAACACGAUAACGUAAAUGACUAAAACAUAAUAUUUCAAACAUAAGUGACUAAAAUGUAACCUAAGGCAAACAAAAGUGACUAUUUUGGUAGCUUACCCUUAUAAUAACAUGGCUUUGAAAGCUACCCUAAAAUCAUCCAUUCUUUCAUGUAAUGUGUGGUAGUUGACUCUCACCCCCACCUCGGCUCCAAUCUAUAUUCUCGUUGAAAAUUGCAUUUCGAACAGUGGUAGGCUCUUCAACCGCAACUUGCUCAACCAACUGAGUAGCCUUGGAAAACAAUUGAAGAAAAUUUAUAAUUGAAACUUUAAUCUCAUGUCAUCAAGGAAAAAAAUAAGAAACACAUAUAUACUCAAGGAAUUUAAUUAAAAAUUUUGCAUGUUAUGCCUUUAGUUGUAAUUGUUAUAAUUACAUAGAAUAAAGUAGGAUUAAAGGGUUGUAGGAUAUAUACCUUUGUUUUGCAAUGUACAAAUUCCUGUGAAUCAAUGAAGAAACCAGUAGCCAACUUAGGGCAAUCUCUUACUUCCAACUCUAUCAUUGCUGGGAAUACAAAAUGAUAUCCUUUGGGACAAAAGUGAAUGAGGCCAGGUAGUUUUUCAAGUGAUAACCAUUCUAAUUUAUCAAAUUUCAUCUCCUCUUCAGCUACCACUUCCACUUUUUCUUCUAAUUCGAAUACUUGUUCCAAUUUAGAAUUCCUUGUAACUAUGAGAGUUUCAAGCUUUAGAAGAACAGGAACAAAUCCAAAAGGAAAAAGACUGUUCAAAUUUUUACAGUUUAUAACAAUGAUUCGUUUCAAAUUUGGAAAGCUCAUGGGUUGGAGGCUAGUAUCACCAUUGGAUGAUGAAGAAGAAACUUGAUCCUUGGCUAAAAUGAGUCGUUCUAUUUCCUCACACCACUCGAUGAAAAGAUCCACCAAAUGUGAUAAACUGCGAGCCAUCAUAGGCGAAAAUAUAUAUCUUAGCUUAUUGCAACCACUCAGUGUUAGAGUUGUAAGGUUCUCAAGGGUUACAAUUUGAGCAAAAUCGUUCCAUAUAACCCGCACUUCAAACAAAUUCCUCAAUUCCAAUAAUUUUAUGGUUGAGAACGAGUACCCGCCUUGAACUUGAAAUACUUCUUCUUGAUUCCCAACUACUAUACAACCUUCAUUCAAUACAGGAACAUCAGUGUUGCAUAAUUGGCGGCUAUUUCCCACGUUACUAAGAACCAAAUCCUGCAUACACAGAAAUCCUAAUAAAUGUCAUAAAAACACACUAGAGUAAAUGUUACCCAUAAGUCUUCAUAAUUUUACAUAUUCCAAGUAACAAAAAAUACUACUUCUCUAAUCUCAAUGCUACAUGUAUCUUUGAUUUUUUUAAAGGAUAUAUUUUUUAAAUCUGAACCCCUAAAAUAUCUACCAAAUUAAUUAAACACAAAAGGCCAUUGCUUGAUACAUUUUUAUUUAAAGAGUGAAAAAUGGAAUUCAUUUACAAAUUAUGUAUAAAAGAGGAAUGAAUUAUCACAUGAACUAAGCAACAUAUCGAUUUACUGAUUUGCUAUAGUGCCAAAAUCCAUAUAUAAAAUGCGAACAAUCUAAAUACCUCUAUGAGCUGAGCUUGUAAAAUGAAGCAUGAGAUUUGGGGACAAUUUGACACUUCUAAAUUUUUCAGAAAGGGCACAUUAAGUAGAAUGUGAUCAUCAAUCACAUCCCUUUCUUCUGUCGAACUGAAGACUUGUAGUAGUUGAGGGCAGUUCUUUAGGUAAAUAGAUUCCAACAAUGGAAAUCCCUGAGAUAAAGUGUUUGCAAACAGAUAUUUCAAUAGUUGGCAAUCCUCUAUCCGGAGAGUUUUCAGUUUUGUCCAGCAGUGAUUCUACAUGAAUGAACCACAUAAUUAGAUAUUAUACAAAAUAUAUUUGUUUAAAUAAAAGCGAGAAAUAUGAUUUACCAAAACAUAUGAAAAAGAAAGCAAUUGAUCUUUGAUUUAUCAUAUUUUGGAACUGUGAUACCCCAACCACUUCAAAAUCAUUAAUCAUGACAAUAAAAAAAUAAAAAUACAAUAUUCAUUGUAAUAGUCGAUGAGAGAGAUUGAACUCUGAUGCUCGUUCAACUUUAAAAUCAAAGAAUUAUGAAUACAAUUUUUUUUAGUCCAACAUGAAGUUUUGAAUAAAAAUAUUAAUAUCUAAAAAUGGACUUUGAUAAGUUAUUCUAAUAGUUUUCAGACUAUAGAGGUUAACGCAAUGAUUUGAUCCAUUCCAUAUGCACCUCAAUUCCGAUAAUGAUAUCAAUAUUUAUUAGUUAAAUUUACCAAAAUUCUUGCCAUCAAAUAAUAUUUAUUAGGUAGAACUAACCACUACUCAAAUAAAUUCAUUCUACAAUUAUAUUAAUAUAUAUUUAUACAACACUGUUUUAAUAUCUCACAUAAAUUAUCAAAUUAAAAUAUGGUAGCAUUGCAAAAACAAAUCAUAUUAUGGUAAAUUAAUUUAAUAAUUUUCUAAAAUAUAAUUUAAAUAAUUAUUAUUAUAUUAAAUAAAUAUAUUAAAUCUUAACGUCAAUAGAAAAUAAAUAUAUAAUAAUUCUCUAUUUUAAUUUUUACUAUUUAUAAUUAUACAUGAAUUAUUUUAAAUAUGAAUAUUAUAGUAUAUUAGUAUUUGAUAAUAAAAAUUUAUAAAUUAAUUUGAUAUACUAAUUUUAAAAACAUAUAGUUGUAAUUUAAUUUUUAAAUUAUAACUUUUUAUAUUUUUAAAUAGUUGUUAUAUGGUAUGUGUAUGUUCGAUUUGAUUUAAACUCAAUAAAAAAUUUGAAUUGAACACUACAAUUCAAAUUAAUUUUCAAUUUUUUCAACUCUUUGCUCAGCCUUAAAAAUGUAAAUACAGAAGUACCUGUGAUCCAAGUUCAGGAAGCACAAUAUCUUGUCCAUGCUUAUUUUGUUCCAUGUUGAAGACUUGUAUAAGUUGAGAACAAUGUCUUAUGUAAACAGAUUCCAAGGAUUGAAGCCCUUGAGUCCAAGUGUUUGCACAAACAUAUUUCAAAUUUCGGCAAAAUUCUAUGCGAAGAAUCCUCAAUUUCGGCCAGCAACAAAGAGAAGAGUCAUUCUACAUGUUUCAAACACACAUCUUAGUAAGUUAUUUAUUUUAUUAUUAAUUAAAAUAGAUUAUUAAUUAAAAGAUAAAAUAUAAAAACAUGUAUAUGCUGCUUAGUUUCUUUUAGCAUACCAAUGGUUAGAUGCACAGGGUUUCUACCCAAAAAAGCAACAAGCUAACUCAAAAAAACUAGGGGGUUUUUAGUUGUUUAUAAAACACACAAUCGAAAUAAAUAAAAUUGAAUUUAUUUUUUUAUAAUUAGGAAUGGAGAAUGAAAUUGUUUGAAAUUGAAUUCAAGUAUUCAUGUCUACAAUAUAAUAUUUUUGUUGUUAGACUAAAACAUCAUUAGCAACUUAAAUGCAAAUAUUUAUUUUAAAUUAUAAAAAUAUUAAAGCAUUAUUAUAAAUUAAAUAAAAGAUAGAAUUUCCUUCUAUAUAAAUAAUUACAUUCUUCUAUCAUGUAAAUUGUGUUGAAGUCAAACAAACCUUAUAAGUGGGCAAUCCAUGGGCAAAAGUCAAGGUGGCAUGGAAUUAAUUGAAGGCUUAUCCAUAAAUAAAUAAAAUAAACAUAAAAUGAGAGAGGUGGCAAUUGAUGAGGUGGUUUUUGAGCCUAUAAUAAGGUUUCAUAUAUUUGUGAUAUGAAGAAAAAGAAAGAGUAAGAAAUGAAAGAAAUGAAAGAAAUGUGUGUGAGUUUGUGUGCACAAGAGUGGAAAUAUGCAAAGAGUGAAUUGUGAGUGUAUAACUAGUGGUAACUAGAAAUUGAGAGAGGGGAAAAUAUAUUUGUAUUUUGUGUAAGUGUAUUUGUUUUGAGUAAUAAAAUUUAAUUUCCUUAGUCACUACUUCACUUCCAAUAAGUGGUAUCCAAGUUACAUUGGUGUCCUCAUCACAAGGAGAUGACAAACAUGAUUCAACCAUAGAUAGAAUCACAAACUAAAUCAAAGUCCAUGAUUCAAGGGAUUAUCUUGGACAAUUUCAAAUCAAUUCAAUCUCUAAAAGAUAAUCUCCUAAGUGAUAUGAUCUUCUAUAAUGGUCUAGAUAUCAAUCAUAGACUCAAUCAUACCCCAUAAAAGUCAUUCAAUAAGUUGCCAAUAUAAUAAAUAUGGAAAAGGUUUCCAUAUCGAUUUAGUGCUCUAGGGAAUGAAUACUUCCUUUGACACUAAAAUGUGAGUUUUUUCAACAAUAUUAAAUUGACCUUGUAAGUUAGCAAUCUAAAGGUAGAAUAAAGUGGCAUGGAAUGAAUUAAAUUAAGGCUUUUCUAUAAAUAGAAAAAAUCUAAAUAAAAAUGAGAGACAACAAUUCAUGAUGCAUUUUAUAAGCCUGUAAAUAGGUUUCAUAUAUAUGUGAUAUGUAAAAGCAAGCGUGUGAAAGAGAAGAAAAAGAAAGAGUAUGAAACAAAACAAAGGUGUGUGACUUUGUGUGCGUGAGAAUGGAAAUAAGCAAAGUUUUAAAGAUUUCCUUUAUCAAAACAUAUGAAUAAGAAAUAAAUUGAUCUUCCAACGUAUCAGUUAUAAAGAAAUAUAUUUCGCAACUGUGAUACUCCAACCACUUUAAAAUAAUUAAUUAUGACUAUUAAAAAAUAUAUAUAUUCAUGGUAAUAGCCGAUGAGAGAGAUAGAAUUCUAAUUGCUGAUUAUAAAUAACUUUUAAAAUAAGGUUGAAAUAUUAAUUAUUUUAUGAACAUAAAAAUGAAUUCGAGUCCAAAUACCUGUAAUCCAAAUCCAUCCUUAUUUUUUUCCAUGUUGAAGAUUUGUAUAAGUCGAGGACAAUCUUUUAUAUCAAUAGCUUCCAGGCAGGGAAGUCCUUGACUUGAACACAAAUAUUUCAAGUUUUCACAUCCACUAAUCCUGACAUCUUUCAAUUUUGGCAAGAACAGAGAAGACUGAUCUUUUAUAUUUGACAAAUGUUCUAAAGAGUUGCAAUUCCAAAUCACGAGAUAUUGCAAAUGCACCAAAGGUCCAUUCCACAUGUACUUCAAUUUUGGCAAUGAUCUUAACUCCAAAGAAGUUAAAUUUGUCAGAUAUUCCUGUCAUCCAAUAAUAUUUGUUAGUUUAAUCUAACCACUAAAAUAAAUUGAUUGUACAAUGAUAUACACACUAAUUUUAAUAUCUCACAUAUAUUAUCAAAGCAAAACAAAAAUCAUAAUAAGGUAAAUUAAUUCAAUAAAUUUCUAAAAUAUAAUUAUUAUAUUACAUUAAAACAAAAUAUAAAAAAAACAUAUUAAAGCGUAACAUCAUGAGAAAAUAAAUAUAUACUAUUUCUCUAUUUUAAUUUUUAGUAUACAAAUAAUAAAGAGCGUGUACGUGGCUCUUGAACAAAAGCUACAGGCUGCAUCGGUUUGUUUGAAUACUUAGAAUUUCAAAAAUCAAUAAAUUACAAUUAUAAAAAGUAAUAAUAUGUAAACAUAUAUUCAUUAAAAAUAAAUGAAAGCAUAAAUACUCUAUGAAUUUUAAAAUAUUUAUCAUUAAAAGUACCUGUGAUCCACGUUCAGGAAGCACAAUGUUUUGUUCCAUGUUGUAGAUUUGUAUAAGUUGAUGACAUUUCACUAUGAAGACAGAUUCCAAGGAUUGAAUCAAAGUGUUUGUAGAAAUAUAUUUCAAACUUUCACAAUCUUUUAUGCGAAGAACUCUCAAUUUCGGCCAGCAAUAAAGAAGACAAUCAUUCUGCAUGUUUCAAACACGUUUUAGUAAGUUAUUUAUUUUAAAUUUCAUAUAGAAUCACAACUCAAAUCAAAGUGAUCCAAAAUAUUGUCUUGGGCAAUUUUGAAUCAAUCAAAUCUUUAAAAGAUAAUAUUUCAAAUGACAUGAUCUUCUAUAAUGGGCUAAAAAUCAACCAUAGACUCAGUCAUAGCCCAUAAAAGUCAUUCAAUGAGUUGUCAAUAUAAUAAAUAUGGAGAUUAUCUCUAUAUUGAUUUGGUGCUCUAGGGAGUAGGCACUCGCUCUAACACCAAAAUGCUAGUUUCAUAUUUUUCAAUAAUAUCAAACCGGCCUUGUAAGUUAGCAAUCCAAGGAUAGAAGAAAGGUGGCAUGGAAUUAAUUGAAGGCUUUUCUAUAAAGAAAUAAAAUCUAAAUAAAAAGGAGAGACACAACAAUUUAUGAUGCAGUUUAUAAGCCUAUAAAUAGAUUUAAUAUAUUUGUGAUAUGUAUAAGCGAGCUUGUGGAUAGAAGAAAAAGGAAGCGUUUGAAACAAAACAAAGGUGUGUGACUUUGUGUGCAUGAAAGUGGAAAUAAGCAAAGAGUGAAUUGUGUGUAUAACUAGUUGUAGGUAGUAAUUGAAAGGAAGAAGAAAAUAUAUUUGUAUUUUGCAUUGGUGUAUUUGUUUUGAGUAAUAAAAGUUACUUUUAAUUUCUUUAGUGGCCACUACGCUUCCAACAAACCCGAUACACAUAAAUAACAUAAAAAUAAAUACCAAACCAAGCACUUCACUUCAAAUUGGUUUUUGGUUUUCUUGCAAUUUGUUUCAUCCUUAAAAGAAUACUAUCAUAAAGCUAAAACAAUUAAGAAGAUUAAAAAAAUUGGAGAGAAUAGGUAUCCCUACCUCAAUAAUCUCGUCUUCUUGGCCAAAACCAAUGACUUGCUCUAGUCGAUCGCAGUAGCUUAUAUAAAGUUGUUGUAGAUGCAACAUACUUAAAGCUAGGCAAGGUGAGAAGAUUGUUUUCAGAUUAUCACAAGAUUCAAUGCUCACAACCUUUAGACUUUGGAGGCUUGCAAUUGCACGAUGGGAUGGCUUUACUUCCCAUAUCCUCUUCAAUUUCGGCAAUGAAUGUAGCCUCAAUAUUGUUAAAUUUGAGAGCAAUGGUGUCUGACAUUUCAUUUUUUCAGAAAGUUUAUCUAUUUGAAAUAUCACUUGUAACUCCUCACAAUCUUUAAUGAUCACUUCCUUAAGGUUUUGCAAGAACCUAGUCGGAGAAACACCAUAGCACAACCCUUUCAAAGAAGCCAUGCUUUCGAUAAUUAAUUCCACCAAAUUAGAGAAUGCAACAGUUGACCCUUGAUCCUUUUUUGUAUCAAUCAAGAAUUCCAUAUCAUUGCAAGAUUUGAGCUGCAGAGAAGUCAACUCAUUUACUCCCAUUUCAUCCAUGCUUGGCACAAUAUUCUUUUGUCCACCAACAUUCCUCAAACUCAACGCUUCCACAUUGCAAAAUAAAUUGUUAAAUGCACUUAAUGAAGAUGAGAAAUCUUGAAUAGCCAAUCUUCUAAACGCCUCCUGAUCGCUACUAUAAUAUUCUCCAACUAUAUCGUACCUUUGUAGUUUAGGGAACAUAAAAUCUUCUAGAGGAAUUUGAUUAGCAGAAAGUCUCAGUGAUAGUGCAGUUAAACGAGACAAUGACUUCAACUCCAAUAAGUUGAGAUUAUUUUUGGGUAUGACAUGUAACUCUUGUAGUGAAGUCAACCUAUUAUAUUCAUAAACAAAGUAGCAUUAAUUGAAAAUUUAUGUGACACAAUCCACAUUCCAUGAGGUUAAAAAAAAAAAUUGUAAUUCCUUAAAGUAAGUCAUAAAAAAGAAAUAUGUAAAAAAAAGUCAAAAACUUGAAAUAAAUCAAGAUAAGUAAUAAAAGGACACUAUUAAAAUUAAAUUAAAAAAUCUCUAAAUUUUUUUUAUCACUUUCAAAGAAAUUUUCAAGAGGUUAAUUUUUUUUUUCUUUUUAACAAUUUAUCUCAAAAUUUCUGGGUCUAAAACAUAAGUAAAUUUUCUGUUUUUUUUUAUAAUAACUUUUUUCACUCUCAAAUUUUAUAAGAAAGUCAUUUUACCCUUAUAUUUAAAAGUCAUUUUACCCUUCUAUUUAAAUUUUAACCUUUUAUAACCCUUAAAUUUGUGAUUUUUUUGUCAAAUCAUCUCAAAAUGAAUAGAAAAGUUGAUGUUUUAAAAUUUUACUGAUGUUGAUAUACGUGGAUUGACACAUGAAUAACACAUUAUUCAUAAUAUAUAUAUAUAUAUAUAUACAUAUCUAAUAGUAAAAAAAAUUGAGUAUUUAUCUUGAUUUUUUAUUAAAAUUUAAAGUCUUUAUUUUAUUAAACUUCCUUAAUUAAUUUUUAUUUAAUAUUAUAUAUAUUUUUAUAUUUACUUUAAUAUAUAUAUAUUUAUAUAUAUAUAUGUAUAUACAUAUAUAACACUUAAUUAUAGCUAAUAAAAUUUGUUAUUUUCCUUGGCAACCCACAUAUCUAUCCACAUAUACUUCAAACAUUACAUUAUUUGUCUUAUAUGAAUAAUUUUAAAUUUAUAAAAAUAUUCAAAAAAUAAAAAAAUUGAAAUUCAAAAAAAUAAAAAAAUCAUAAAAUUAAAAAAAUAUAGCAUGAAGUAUGGAUUGGAAUGUGGGUGUUCAUGUUUAAAAACUUAACAUUUUAGUUAGUAUUUCCGUUAAAAAAUAAUUCAGCAUUUUUUAAAAGGUUGAUGCUCCUUUUUAAAUGUCCAUAAUCAAAUUUAAUUAAAAACCGAAUAAGGACUAAAUUGAUAAAUGAUGUUAAAAUUAGUAUUGUAAAAUUAAAAAUACCAAUUAAAGUAAUUAAGAGGAAAAUAAAUUAUGUCAAACAAAAUACCAAUAUGAUAAAAAGAAAAUUAAAUCUGAUGCACUCUUACCUUGAUACCAAGUUUGGGGGGAUAUUCAUUUCUCUUUCAACUCCAACACCAGAAAGACGUAAAUAUUUCAGUGCAGACAACUUCACUAAUUCUUCACUUAUCUCAUCAAUUUCAGUGGCAAUCAAUGCAAGAAUCUCAAGGCUUCUCAUAUUUGUCAGAGAUGAUGAGAAGUUUUUCAGCAUGCAAUCAUAACACCUCAAAGUUUUAAGAUUUGGUAAGGAAGGGAAUCCUUUCAGUGAGAAGCUGACACGUUUGAGAAGUAAAACUUGGAGGGCUUUCAUUUCUUCAAAAAAUGUACCCAAAACCACUAAGAAAUCAUCUCGGUUCCUCUUCCUCUCGCCCUCUAAAAACAAAGUUUUGAGCUUUGAAAAUUCCACUUUAUCAGGAAAAAUAUUUAUGAUACUACUACAAUUCCAUAAAGCGAUUGCAGUAUAACUUUCAUCCAUAUGAGGCCAUUCUUUCAACGUAUCUUUUACCAUGAACCUAUUUUCUCCCGUUGAUGUUAGCCAAUGAGCAAAAUCUCGAAUCACAUCAUGGAUUCUAAUCGUAUCUGCACCAUCAGUUUCCAAUAACAAGCCAGAUUUUUGGAGUUUUUUAGUGCUUCAACAAUUUUCUUCCUUUUAUCUUCAAUCGAGUAAAAAUUAGGGAACAAUCCUACUCCAAUUCCGCACAUAAUCAAUAUCUCAGUAUCGAUUUCUUCAUCUUCAGGAAAAAGGGAACACAGUAAGAAACAAAUUUGGAUGUCAUUUAUUCCCGUCAUUUGGUUAAUGCCUUUCUUCAAGUAAUCGUAGCUAAGCUUAAGAGGCUCGAGGACACCCCCGAGGACUUCUUCAUCAUACAAAUGCGUUGAGUCCUUGAAUCUCUGAUUUGCGUCUCUCCACCCAUUUAAACUCUCACCUUUUAAAGCUUUGGCCACGACAACAAUUGCAAGAGGCAAUCCCUUACAUUCAGCAGCAACCUCUUUGGCUACAUCAUUCAACGUGGAACAAUCAUCUUCUAAACCAGCUUUAUCUCGAAAUAAAACCCAUGCUUCGUCUUUGGAUAAGAUGCCAAGUUGAAUUUCCUUCUGACACUUCAUUUUACUGCAGACUUGUUGUUGACGUGUAGUCAGAAGAAUUUUGCAACCCUUGUGGUCAUCACCGAAUGGAAUUCCGAUAUCCUCUAAUUUGAAUUCUUCCCAGAGGUCGUCGACAAUUACAAGGAUUUUUUUCACGCGUUGCAUACUCCUGAAUAGCUCUUCUGCUUUUCCUUCUUGGCUACUUGUUUCAAAUUUUAAACCAAAAAUAUCUGCAACUUUAUCUUGAAUUUUGUUGAUGUCUGCAUUUUGGGACAUAGUAAACAUCACAACUUUAUCAAAGAACUUUUGUUCUCGAGCAUGCUUCCCAACUUCUUUGGCUAAAGUUGUUUUACCAACUCCUGGCAUUCCUUGCAGUCCGAUCAUGUUGACACCCUUAGCAUUUAUAGCCUCCAUGAUCUGGUUGAAAGCUGAUUUUGAAGAUUUAGAGUGCAUGAAAUCAGUGGAUCUGAUGAAUUCUAUUCCUUGAAGAGGACGACGAUAGCCCACCUGUGCAAAGUUAGAAGUCUCUAAAAGUUUAGAGAUAAUAGGAAUCUUCUCUGCCAGUUUCUUACUUAAGGAAUAUCGCCAGCCCCAUUUAGGACACCAUUUGAAACACUUGACGCGAUCUAUUUCAUCUUUCAAGUUCUGGGUUUCUUUCAGUUCUUUCUCAGCGCUUGUAAGCCAGUUGUCAACGUCCUUAUGGAUGAGCUCAUUUUGCCUUUCAGCCUCAUCGACACGAAUUUUCACCCUCUCUUUCUUCAAUUCAAGUGCUUCUCGUUGAUUCUUGAAAUCUUCAACAAUCUCUCCAUAACGGAAAAAGUAACGGAGAUAGGGUGAUGCGUAUUCCUUUGCCUGGUCUGCCACAAUUUCGACAGCAGCAGGGGCAGCAUAUUCGGCCAUUUUUGUUGAUAGUCUGAUGAGGUUGAACAAAAACAUUGGUUAUUAGUAAGAAUUAACAUAAAGAGAAAUAAAAGCAAUUGUGACAAAUAAAAUCAGUAUUUGUAGUAAAAAAUCGAGUGGAAGCUACCAAAUAAGAAGCUGUAAAUAUUGAUGUAAAGCAAAGAUGUUAUUAUUGAAGAAGGUAGAAAAUACCUCUGUUUCUGUCUGAGAAUACCAGAAAGUAAAUAGAGCUUGAGAGAAAUAAGUAGCUGUAAAAGAUGAAAAGAAUUGAUUUAGUGCAGGUAAUAGAAAAAUAAUAAUAAAAAAAUUGAGAGCAUGUUUUAACCUUACAUGCACACUCAAUCGUAAUUACUCUUCCCAUUUUAUUCAUUCUAAAUCGGAGCUAUAAUUUGUAUGUGAAAUCCUAAAAACAAUUUCUCAUAAAGAAAUCCUAAAAAGAAUUACAUUCUCUUAAACAUAUUUUAUAUUUAUUUCUACAUUUUGGAUUAUAGAUUGGAUGCUUUUAAGUUCCUAUAGAAUUAGAGUUUGUGUGCUCUCUAAAAUGUUUAAUGGAAAAAACGACACAAGACUAAUGAAUGGAGAAAGGACACUCUUCAUUUGCCCCUUUCCUGUUUGAUCAGCAUGUUAUACACUUCAACUCUGAGUAAAAUCCGAUUCGAUUCGAAAAUUUUGAUUUAACUAGUUCGAGUUAUUUGUGUUAAUUAAUUUUUUGGAUAAACUCGAAUUGACUUGAAUAUGAAUUACCCAAUUCGAGUUAUUCGAAAAUCCGAAUUAGAAAAUGUAAAACUAUAUCGUUUUGAUAAAUGUGUACCUUUCUAAAGUUAAAUUCAAAACCAUUAAGUUAUAAGGCAAAAUUACGUCAUUUUGAUAAAUAUUUACUCAUUAAGUUAAGAGGUAAAACCAUUAUAUUAUUUAUGUAGUUAAAUAAUAUUGUAAUUCGUCUGUUAGUUAAACAAUCGGUCCAUGUAAAUGCAACAUUGAAUAUAAAUAAUAGGAUUGGUUAAUUCGACUCAACUUGACUCGAAAGUUUUUACUCGAUUUGAUUUGGUUAAAAAAAAUCAAAUUGAGUUUAGUUGCUAAGAUAAAUUCAUCAACUCGACUAACUCAAAAUUUUUCGAUUCGACUCAACUUAAUCAAAUACUCACCCUAAAUCCAAGGUUCUUGUUCUAGUUUGUUCAAUCUUUAAAAUGAAUAUAUAAUCUCUUUAAUUAAGACGGAACUUGUAUGAAACCUUUCUUUAUGAAAAAUAAAAUCACAAGUGAUUUAAAAUGAAAGGGAGAUCCACUCAACAAAAACAUGAAAAUAUAUAGCAAUGAGGAGCAGUUCCUCAAAACUUACCUUCACUCAACUAUCCUCUGCGCUGUUUCUUUUGCCAAGUCGAAAUCAAGGUAUGAAGAAAGUUUGGUUUUCAGAAAUAAAAGACAGUUUGCAGGAUUUUUUUUUUUGUUUUUUUUCCCUUAAUUGAGACAAUACAAGAAAAUGUGAAAACUGAAAAACAAAUAGUGGAAAUUAUCACACACACAGAUUUUUUUUUUUUUUUUGGUGAUGAUCACAGACACAGAUUUCAGAAUAUGGAAGCAAAAAAGGAAAUGAUGAGAAACACAGGUUAAUUUGAGAAUUAGAAAGCCAAAAACAAAGAGUGGAAAUGAUCAAACUUGGAAGCAAAGACCACUUUGGAUGAGGAAGAAGAAUGGGAAGUCGUUGGUUUAACUUUCAAAUGUUUUUCUACUUUUUUUAUUUAAAUUCAUAAAACAAAGUAUUGUUCAUCAUUCUUUUCUUUAUUAUAAUAAAAUAAUCAUUAUUUUUAUUACCAUUAAAGUCAAUGUCUUUGUUAAUGUAAAAUUCCAUUUUUUAUAUUUUUAUAUUUUAGUAAAAAUAUUAUUUAUUUUUAUUUAUUUUAAUUAUUAACUUAUAUUUUUUCUAUUCGAUUCUACUCGAUAAUCGAUCUAAGACUAAGAAAUUAAAAUUUUUGUUCUCGAAAAGCCAACAAUGGUGGUUAAGGCAUGUGAUUAGAGCAGAACAAAUAAUUCCCUCAAAUAAUUGAAGAAAAGGAUGACGGAUGAUUGAUUACUAAGAGUCGUCACCACUUUUGCUAGUGGGAUAGGUCUUGUCAAUGAAUUAUUGCCUUUGUAAUUAUCAAGUUUGCUCACCACUUUCGCUAGUGGGACAGGCAUUGUUGACGAAUUACUUUUUACUAUUUUUACCUUACCUGCUUCCUUUGCUUACUUAUUAUCGUGUAUAAAUAGAAUAUAUAAGUAUUAGCAUUAAAUGAUUUAUUAUAUGAAUUAGGAAAAGAAAAAAAACUUCUCUUCUACAGAUAUAGAUAAAAAUACAAAAAAAGAAAAAGAAAAUACAGAUAUAGAUAAGAAUUUUAUUUUUUUAACACGGUUAACCAUUAGACAAGGUGAUACAUUAAAUAGGAUAACUUGACUUAAAAAAUUUAAUAAAUACUAUUUAAUCAUGAUUGAAAUUUUAAAAUUUAAAAAAUUAAGGACAAAAUUUAAUUAAAUUAAAAUAUAAAAAUUAAAUAUACAAGUUGCACAUAAUACAAAAAUGGAUAAUAAAAUUUAAUUGUUUAAAUUAUAGAUAGAAUUUCAUCAAGUCUUACGUUUUAAAACUUGUGAGAGUUAUUUUAUUCAAAAAUAUCAUUAAUUAGUGGAAGAAGAAGACAUUUUAUUUGGAGUUAUUGGUUUCACUUUUUUAUGUUUAUUUAUUUUAUUUUUAUUUUUAGAAUAAAACAAUUAUCGAAAAAGAAAAUAUUGUUUAGGUAGUAAUUUGUGGGUUAAGUUGUUUUUUAAAUAGACUUAAUGGUUUGACUAAUGGAGAUAAUAAUUUUAAAAAAUAAUUUAUGUACCACUUGUGAUAAAAAAAUGUUUAAGCACGAAGAUGAAAAAAAUGGCAUAAUCUAAGUAUUAGUUUGUAGGUUAAACCAAUGUUGUGCAUAGAGAAAAUAUUAAGAAAAUAUUUUUCUUUAUUUUAUUUUAUUUUUAGAAAAAAAGGAAGCUUUUUAAAUCUCAAAAUUUUUUAAAAAAUCAGAAAAUUAUAUAUAUAAUUAUAUAAAAUUUACAGAAACUUUAAUAAUAUAUAUUUUUUGGAAAAAUAUAUAAUAGAGAGAAAAUACAAAGAAAAUGUAAGGAGAAAUCUAAAAUAUUCUGAUAGUUAAGAUAUUUGUAUAAAACAAUGCAACCUUCCAUAUAUAUCUCUCAAAAAAAUUCUGAUUUUUUUUUUCGUUCCUUGUAUGGAAUAGUUAGGUCACAUUAUUCGUACGGAAAUAGAUGUUGGUAGGUGGAAUUCAAUUUGACUAUCAAGAUCCGGUUCAAUCAUUUUCGGCAAAGCGAAGGUGGAACAAGUUUAUUAGUUAAAAGGAAUUCUGAAGCAGUUUUGUGAUUUUUCUGGGAAUAAAAUUAGUGCAAGGAAAAGUAAUAUGUAUCUUUCCAAAGUAGUUGAGACUGAUUUGUGUGUUCAGAUUAGCCAGAUAUUUGGGUUUCAGAAAUUUCUUAAUCUUGGGAUCUACUUUGGGGUGCCCCUCCUUUAUGACCGAGUUAAAGAAGAUAGUAAGGCAGUAUAUAUGGAGUUGUUCUGCUGGACAGCCAAAACUUGUUGUGGUGAGGUGGGAGUCCAUCUAUCAGCUAAGGUCUCAAGGUGGUCUUAGAUUUCGGCAUCUCAAGGAUCAAAAUAAUUCCUUUCUUAUGAAGGUUGGUUUCAAUUUGGUCACCAUGGAGGAUGCUUUAUGGGUUCGAGUCCUUCGUUUAAAAUAUGGAUGGAACAGUCACAUUCCGGAAUCCAUUUCCAGAAGCCAAAGCUUACACCUAUGGCACUCCCUUUCUAAGGUUUGGCCUCUAUUUCAUGAGAAUCUAAUUUGGUCUGUUGGUAAUGGUUCUAGUAUUCAUUGUUGGAAGGAUUCUUGGGUACGUACCGGGAAGUGGUCCUACUAUCAUAUGUUCCACUUCGUACAAGACUAGAUUUGAAGUGCACUCUGAGAGAUCGGGUAUUUAUUGAUGGUUCAUAGAACUUGGAUUUGUUUCGUACGUAUUUGACUGCCCGAAAAGGUGAUUAAGCUUAUAGUGAGUAUCCCCCCACAUUCUACUAGUGGGGAGGAUAGGGUCAUCUAGGCUUGUUCAGGGUCAGGGUCUUUCUUUGUUCACAAUGAUUAUUGGGCCUUAAAAGAAGACUUUUGGAACCCCAAAGAAGACAGUUGGAAGGAUACUUGAAAAUAUCAAGGCCCCCAAAGAGUCCACUUUUUUCCUUCAGCUAGUAUCUAAACAAAGACUUCUUACUAAUUCAGACCAUACUAGGAAAUGAAUGGGCACACCAACUAUUGUCUUUUAUGUGGCCAUGAUACAGAGGAUAUUCUAUAUGUUCUUCAAGACUGUACGACAGCAAAGGAAGUAUUGAUGCAUGUGGUUCCAUCUAAGAGAUAACACAGAUUCUUUUCUGAUCCUUUUCAAAUUUGGUUUUCCUCUAAUCUAUAUUGUCAUUUUAAUAUGCAAGAUAGCGGAGUUACUUGGUCAUGUCUAUUCAGUUUAAUUGCAUGGAGAAUUUGGAAUAACAAAAAUUUAUUCAUCUUCCAAAAUAUUACUUGAACGACUUAUGAAAUUGUCAAAGUCUCGUUAAGUUGGGCACAAUAGUUUGAACCUUUUCUUAACAGUUCCCAAGCUAAUCCUCUUAAUUCGGUAUUCCACUCACACUAUGAAGGAAAUUGGGUACAUCUAUUCUCUGAUGGAGCAGUGGCCAGAGAUUUCAGGAAUGCUUCCGUUGGCAGGAUGGUUCGUGAUCAGUUUGAAAAUUGGAUAUUGGGCUUUAAUCACUAUCUAGGCAUAUGCUCACCUCUUGAGGUAGAAUUUUGUGGUAUUCUAGAUGGACUCCUCGUUUUAUUAAAUAAGAGAUACAAGAGAGCCACAAUUCAGACAAAUAAUCUGAAGGUGGUUAAAGUUUUGACCAUGAAGGAGUACUCAAUGUACUCAGGUAUUACCUUACUCAUAAGGAUUCAAUGACUUAUGCAUUACGAAGAACAAUGGGAGAUCAGAUACGUACCUAGGAAUUGCAAUUUAAUUAUAGAUCAACUGGUAAAAAUUAGCCUUACAUGAUAGGCAAGCUUACAGAUCUUUGAAGUGCCUCUAGACACUGUGUCUAUGAAUCUUCAACAAGACAAAGCAUUUAGCGUUUCUUAGUAGUUGAUUUGAUGUAAUUUUGUUUUAUUUUCCACAAAAAAUAUGUAUACUUUUAAAUUUUUUGGAAAGUUUUUAAAACUUUCCAUAUUUUUUUUGUUAUUUCUUAAAAUUUUUUUAAAUUUUUUUUUUGAUUUUUUGAAAUUCUUUUGUAUUUUUAUCUAUUUCUUUUAGAUGAGAAGAAUAUUUUUUAAAAUUUUUGGGGAAUUUUAUAUGACUCUCCAUAAUCUUUAGAUUUGUGAAUUUUUUUUAUUUUGUUUGAUUUUUUGUAUUUUCACUUUUUUUUGGUAUUUUAUGUAUUUAAAAAAAUAAAAGUAAAUAGUUUUUUUAGUUAUAGGGAAUUUGUUAUAAAUUUGUAUAUUUUUAUUUUUUUAAGAAAAUUGAGAAUUUUCUCAAAUUUUUAUUUCUUUUUUUCCCCUUUUUCAUUUUUAAAUUUAUUUAGGAAAAUAAGAAUUAGGAGAUGUGACAUGCUAAGAGUGUGCCACAUCAUUUUCUUAAUGCUAUUAACAACUGGGGCAAAGUGAUACAUAGAUGGAAACUUCAAGUAUCAAACUAAUACAAAAAAUUCUUUAGAUACCAAAAUGAUAAUUGAGUGAAACUUUGGGGAGCAAAUAGUGCAUUAACUAUUUUAGAAUAGGAUAACUUAACCUAAUGAUUAUCUGAAAUACCUAAAAUUCAAGAUUUUCCGUUAUUGAAUUUCACUCAAAAUCAAAUAUCAAUCAUUCUUAAUCAAACCUUGAUUUGAAUAUAACUUAAUUUUGAAACUAAAAUUGGAUCUAACUAACCAAUAUAAAAAACCAUAUCAUUAAUCAAAUUUAAACAUAAAUUGAAUUCUUUAUAUUUACAACAAUUUUUUUCUAUUUCCAAACUUUUACACAAUCAUGUAGAUUAUUCCUUUUCUUUCUUUUAUUUUCUGACGAAUAAAAUUAAGCAAACGAUAAAAUUGAUUUAAACCUUCUUGGAUAUUCCCAAACAAGCUUGAUUGGAAGUAGACAUAGAUGAACCGAAGAGAGAAAGGGAGCAUGGAACCAAACUGGUUUGGAUAAAGUUGAUGGUAAGUUUAGUAUAGUGGUUGAUUUAGUCAUUGAGAAUGUAGAGCUCGUUUGAAGAAUUUGUGAAACAAUGUAAUUUCAAGAGGGAGAGAAUGUUGUAGGUCAGAUAGAUAAUAUGGUCAUUGAGAGAUCCAAAUUGAUUCGUUAAAGUGGUGAUGGACAAUAAGGGUUUGUAAUUGUGGGGUGAGAAUAUGCGAAGCAAGUUUUAUUUUGGUUUCAGCUUUCACAUGUUCUUUUUUCAUAAACAUAAAAAAAAUUAACAAAUGAAAAAUAUAGAAAAACUACGUUAAAAGAGAUGGAGAAGGGAGAAAUUCGAAGGGAGAAGCAAAAGGGAAUGAAAAAUAAAGAAAAAAAAGUUGAAAGAGCAUAAAAGAAAAAAUUAAAUUGUUUAAAAUAAAAAAAUAUGGUGACCAAUUGUAUAAUUUAAUCUAAAAUUUUUGUUUGAAAUGAAAAUUUAACGUGCCAUGUCAGCUUACCGUUACACCAUUAACGGUAAUUAAUGGCUUAGUGACUAAAAUGUUACAAUGCGUUAACGUAAAUGACUCAAAAGUAACAUUUCAAACAUAAGUGACUAAAAUGUAACCCGAGGUAAAUAAAAGUGACGAUUUUAAUAGUUUACUCAUAAAUUUAACAAUGUUAAUAAUUGUAUUUUAAUUUUGAAAUUUGAAAAGUAGGAUUAAAUUCCUAAAAUAAAAGUACACGGAGUCAAUUUCAAAUUUGGAAUGAGUACAAGAACUUGACAUAUUUUAAUCUGAUUGAAAGUUACCAAGACUUAUUGGAAAUAAUGGUUAAAGCUUUUGUCUAAUACUUAGAUAACGCGAAUUGAAACCUUAUUAUCCCCUCCUCAUCCCUAAUAUUGUAACUAGAGGUUAACCCAGGGGGGCUGGCAAGGCCCCCAGCUCCCCUUAAAAUGGUAAAUUGUUGUUUUGGCUCUUUAGAAAAUUUUAAAAUUUUAAAAUUUUAAAAUAAUAAAGGUAAAAUUACACUUUGGCCCCCUAAAAUUAUGAAAAUUUAAUUUAAUUCUUUAAAAAUUAUAAAGAUAUAGACUAUUAAAAAUUAAAAUUUCAUUUCGGCCCCUAAAAUCUUUUUUUAGCUUCACCCCUAAUUGUAAAAAAAAAUUUUAAAUUGAAAUUAUUACUUAAUAAUUAAGAAUUAUAUUUUUACAUGAUAUUCCUCAAUUAUAAAUAAUAUUAAGAUACAUGUUUUAAACAUGCUGAACCACUAUGCUUUGUGCUUGCCAAACUUGAAAACCAGAAAUUUUCCUCAAUUGAGAUGUUUUAUUGUAACCCAAGUAUUUAGUUCAUUGACACUUAACUAUAUUUUUCCCUUAAUCAUUUAAUUUUUCGAAAUUGAAUUUUAGUCACUUUUUCUUUAAUUGUCUAAUGGAAGUCUAACAUGAGUUUUGUUUUAUUAGUUUAAUAAUAAAUUUAGGCAUUUAUAAUUUACACAUUUAAUCAAUUUGAUCUCAAAUCUAAAAUAAAUUCAGUCUUCAAUAUUUUCAAGAUUUAUCAUUCUAAACUUAAUUAUAAAAACUAUAAAAAAUAAAAAUCUUAAAAAAAUAAAAAGAAAAUAUAAAUUUGUGAUUUGAAUAUUAAAAUUUGAUUGAAUAUUCAUGAUUUGAAUUAAAACAAUUUUUGAUUUCUUUUAUCAUUUAUAUUUGGACUCUUAAGAAUAUUAAAACUAGAAAUAUAUAAGAUUUAUAUAACAAAAAUAGAUAAUGUUAGAUUAUGUGAUCCGAAUUUCGCCAUUUGUUAAAGAAAUAAAAGUAAGAUAAAAUAUACCAAAGUUGCAAAUAUGCAAUAGAAGAACAUAGUAGAUUUAAUUACCAGCACAAAGUUCUAAUUUACGGAUUUACAAAGGGAAUAGUGGUUUAUGUUUAAUAGAAAUUACAAACACACUAUAUAACAUAUUAUUCUUAAAGUCGAGUUUUCUUAGGAGAAAUCAAGUCCUGAAAAUACACAAUACAAUAUGAAUAAAGGAGAGUAGUUGCACUUUGCCUACAAUAAGCCGCUCGAUUCCAUUGAUAUUAUGGCACCUUAGGUACCUAUAAAAUUUGAAAACAAGGAUUUAUCAAAAACGUAGUGGAAUUCAAUGUGUUUUAAGUAAUGUAAUGAUUGGUUUUUUAAGAAUACCUGCGGAUUUAGCAUCAUAUAACGUUUGGUAAGAAGCUUGCAUCUAAUAGAACAAAGCUUGGAAACAACAUCAAUCAUGUCUAUCCUCAAACUUGGUGAAUCUGCAGAACAAAUUUCAUAAAUUUUUUAUCCGAUAUUGAUCUUUCAAAUCAAUUAGUUAAUCUUUCACGGUUCUUGAAAAAUAUUUCGUUAAUAUACAAAUGUUAACUCUUGUAUAAUUGCCGUUUGAAGGAACCAAUUUAGGGAUCCUAGAUCAGAUUUGAACGUGAAGGACAUCGCUCAAGAUCUAGACGAAUCGGGGAAAAAUCGUGCCUAUGAUAGCACCACACAGUCUUCCACACAAGUUUGUGGGUCACACGGCCCCUCACACGACCAUGUCCCCCUAAAACCCAAAAAUCUUAGAUUCUCACAUAGCCUAGGACCCUUCAUAUAUGACUAUGUCUCCCUUGCACCCUGGUUUUGCAUGACCCACACAGCCACAGUCUAUCACACGAUAGUGUAACCCCUUCGCAUUGUUGAAGGCAUUGCACACGGCCAUGUGCCCCUAUUUUAAAUUUUUACCUAGAAUUUUACGAUAGAAUUUUUUUUGGCUUGCCCCCGAUUGUAACAAAAAAGAAUUUUAAUUCUUAAUUAUUACUUAAUAAUUAAGAAUUAUAUUUUUACAUGAUUUUCCCCCAUUAUAAAUAAUAUUAAGGUAUAUGUUUUAAACAUGUUGAACCACUAUGCUUUGCGCUGGCCAAAGUUGAAAAACAGAAAUUGUCCUCAAUUGAGAUGUUUUAUUGUAACCCAACUAUUUAGUUCAUUGACACCUAACUAUUAAUUUUUUUUCUUAACCAUUUAAUUUUUCGAAAUUGAAUUUUAGUCACUUUUUCUUUAAUUGUCUAACGGAAGUCUAACAUGAGUUUUGUUUUAUUAGUUUAAUAAUAAAUUUAGACAUUUAAUAUUUACACAUUUAAUCAAUUUGAUCUCAAAUCUAAAAUAAGUUCAAUCCUCAAUAUUUACGAGAUUGAUCAUUCUAAUCUUAAUUAUAAAAAGUAUAAAAAAUAAAAAUCUUAAAAAAAUAAAAAGAAAAUAUAAAUUUGUGAUUUGAAUAUUAAAAUUUGAUUGAAUAUUCAUGAUUUGAAUUAAAACAAUUUUUGAUUUUUGAUUUCUUUUAUCAUUUAUAUUUGGACUCUUAAGAAUAUUAAAACUAGAAAUAUAUAAGUUUUAUAUAAUAAAUAUAGAUUAGAUUAUGUGAUCCGAAUUUCGUCAUUUGUAUUUGGGAAGCGUCAUCCUUAUGAGUUAAUUGUUUUACACUUCUUACUUGGUGUAGCUUCUUACAUGGGCCGUGAGUGGGAACUUAGUUUUCGUUUGGGUAUGCGGCCUUGGAUCACUAUUGCAUAUUCAACUCCUGUUGCAGCUACUACCACCGUUUUCUUGAUCUAACAUGUGAAACAGAUACAGACAUUGCUUAGAGGUCCAAGGUUUAAAUCACACCUCUCUCAUUUUUCCUUUUUAAAUUUAUUAAGAAAUGGGUAGCAAUCCAAUGGUUAAACACUUAUUCCUCUCCCAUGCAGCCUCUUCAUAUUUGAAAACUCUAGCUAUUUAGUCCCCUUUUCCCUAAUUACACUAGGAUUAUGUUUUUUUUUUGUUCCAAUUAGAAUUUCUCUUCUCUCUCCCUAUUUCUUCUCAUAUUUCUUUUCCAUCGUCAUCUUUGCAUCAAAUUUUCUCUCCAUUGCUGAAACUAUUUUUGCUCUCGAUGUCAAAUCAAUCCCCGAUAAUUCGAUUCUCUAUCGAUUGUUGAAUUCAUCGUUGAUAGCUUCCAUAAUUCCAUCAAGUACGGUAAGUGCCUCUCAAUCUAAAGUUUAGGACCCCAAAUUUCAUAAAUUUUUUAUUCGAUAUUGAUCUUACAAAUCAAUUAGUCAAUAUUUCACGGUUCCAAAAAAAUCUUUCGUUAAUAUACAAAUGUUAACUCUUGUAUAAUUGUUGUUUGAAGGACCCAAUUUAGGGAUCUUGGAUCAGAUUUGAACGUGAGGGACAUCGCUCAGGAUCUCAAUGAAUCGGGGAAAAAUCGUGCCUAUGAUAGCACCACACAGUCUUUGACACAAGUUUGUGGGUCACACGGCCCCUCACACGACCAUGUCCCCCUGAAACCCAAGGAUCUUAGAUUCUCACAUGGUCUAGGACCCUUCAUAUGACUGUCUCUCCCUUGCACCCUAAUUUUGCAUGAUCCACACGGUCACAGUCUGGCACUUAAUAGUGUAACCCCUUCGCAUGGCUGAAGGCAUUGCACACGACCAUGUGUCCCUAUUUUAAAAUUAUACCUAAAAUUUUAUGAUUUGUUCAGUUUAGUCCCUGAAUCAUUUUUGAAUUAUUUUUUAGAGUUUUAUUUUUUUUCGAUUAAGUCCCUAAUAACAUGGAAAAUGCUAGAAUCCAUGACAUGAUUGACUAAAUUAAUAUUAUAUAUAAUUAUCUGGAUUGUGAAUGAUAUAUAUGUUUAUUACAUAAACAGAGCCAUGUUGUGCUCUAUCUAUAAGUAUAAACAGAUAAUCAAAAUAAAUUUCACUUCUUCUUGAAUGAUUUGAUUAUAUAGAGAGUGACAUUCUUUAGAUCUUAUGCAUGUUUUGAGUUAUAUAUAAGAAUGGAUGUGAUAUUAUAUAUGUGUUAUAAAUUGUUUUUUAUUGUCAAGGUUGUGGUUCUUAGGAAAUAGACUGUGGACUAUCAUCUCCAUGUAAGGCUAUUUUUUUAAAAUUCAUAGAAUUCUUGUGAAUCGAAAACGGACAUAAGACUUAAAUCACUACAAGAAAUUAAGCUUUUAGAGGCGUUUUUAGUGGCGUUUGGACCAAAAACACCGCAAAAGUUAUACAUUAGUGGCGCUAAUCGAAAAACGCCGCAAAAGGUUAGAGCUAUAGUACAUUUAUGAGAAAACGCCGCAAAAGGUCUAGUAGCAACAUGCAGAAGGUCUAGCAAUAGCAGCGCUUAUGAGAAAAAUACCGCAAAAAGUCAAGCAUUAGCGGCGUUUUUAUACGCUGCAAAAAAUCAUUUUAUUUUAAACAAACGGCGCCGUUUUGCUCCCUGUAUUCUCACCCAUCAUCCAAGUGGCCAAUCAUGUAUUCUUUUUGACAACUCAUGCACUCUUUCAUCCUAUUCUGUUUAUUAUUUAACUAGUUUCUUUAUAUUAAUUAAAAUAUAAUUUAUUUUUAAUUUAAUAUUAAAAAUCUUCAAAAAAAAAAUUAAUGACAUGUAGAAAACAUUUGAAAGUAAAACCAUAGAAAAAUAUAUGUUAAAAAUGAAAAAAUUAAAUUACUAUUAUUUAAAAUACUGUUAUUUAAAAUAAUUUUAUUUGCUCUAACAAACUAAUUUCUAACCAGAAGAUUUUGAUUGGGGAUUCUAGUUUAUAGAGAGGCUUGACUCCUUUUGUAGAUGAUGGCCUAAUUAAGAUAGUUGGAUUUAGAAAUGUCCUGCAUGGUCUUGUUUUGCUUGCUCCAAAUGGACAUGGGACUCAUUUAGCACAGGUAGAAUGAGACUGUUCAUGACUGGUUUGCACUCUUUAACCUUAGGGAUUUUGAAAUUUUGGAGAUUAGACUAUAUUUGGGAAUUUGAAGAUAUAGCGAAAAUUGUAGCUCCUAACCAAAUUAGGUUCAUUGAUUAUGAGGUUGGAUCCUUCAUUGUUGGUAUAUAAAUAUUAUGAGUCGGGCAUGACAAUGAUUGUAACUUGUGAGCAUGGUUAUUUUACCUUAUUGAUAUUGAUAAAAUUAUUGAAGAUAUUACCUUUGUACUAUUUUGAUUUUUGUUGCCCGAGAUGCAAUCUUUCUCCCUGUUUAGAGCCCAUGUUUGUAAGGUGUGCCAAAAGUUGAACUUGAAUUAAAAACAUAAUAUUUAAAUUCUAAAUUUAAAUUCAUUAAUUUUUAUAUUUAGUUUUAAAGUUAAAAUUUUAAUAGAAAAUUUAAUUUAAUUAAUAUUUUUCUAUUUAGUAUAUAGUUUAAAGUGUUGGAACAUUUUCAAAUAUUUAUAGUAUCCCAAUAACUAUAAAUGAAUGGGUGUAAUUAAUCAAAAGAUAAAUCUUUUGGUCAUUGGUCAAAAGUUAUAUCAUUUGAUUUUUUUAAAAAAGAAUUAUAAUUAUUCAAAAAAUAUUAUUUGAAUAGUUACAAAAUUAAAUGAAUAAUUAUUAUUAUAUAUUUAUUCAUAAAGACACCUAUUGAAAUAUGUCUCUAUGAAGAGACAAGAAAAUUCCUAUAAAUAGGAAUGGGUUUUCAUUUGGAAAUAUAUCAACAAAUUCUUAUAUUAUUUCUUCUCUUCCUUCAUUUUCUAAUAUUAUUAGAUUAUUCUAUAAAGUAUUACUGCAGAAAUCCUUUGUAGAAAUUGAGUUUUUGUUACACAUUACUCAGUGCAUAGUGGACUAUUCUCGUCAGUGCAAAACGCAAAUAGUCAUUGGCUUCAUUGUAUCCUCGAGGUUAAUUUGCUUGGAACUCAUUUGCACACUGAAGAUAAGUGGGGGCGAAUAUAACCUUAAAGAUAGUGGCUUGAUACACGCCUUGGAGCCUUGUAUUAUUUCUUCUUUUUCUUUUCGAGUUCCGAUUGUGUGUUCGAGAUUUUCCUUACCGGAGUUUUGUAAUAACAUAAAGUUCAAAUUUCAAAAAUAAAACAUAAUAUAAUAUUUUAUCAUAGAAAUAAAUAUUAUUUAAUUAAAAUAAUUAUUUUUAAAGAUCAUGUUCUAUAGCAGCGUUUGUGGGAAAAGCGCCGCUAAAAGUCAUGUUCCAUUACACCCAAAUUAUAUCAGACACUUAACUAAAAACAUCCGAGCAACAUUGCUCCACCAACUGAUGUAACAUGGCUUUGAAAGCUACCCUAAAAUCAUCCAUUCUUUCAUGUAAUGUGUGGUAGUUGACUCUCACCCCCAUUAUUGGCUCCAAUUUAUAUUCUCGUUGAAAACUACAUUUCGAAUAGUGGUAGACUCUUCAACCGCAUCUUGCUUAACCAACUGAGGUGCCUUGGAAAACAAUUGAAGAAAAAUUUAUAAUUGAAACUUUAAUCUCAUGUCAUCAAGGAAAAAAAUAAGAAACACAUAUAUACUCAAGGAAUUUAAUUAAAAAUUUUGCAUGUUAUGCCUUCAGUUGCAAUUGUUAUAAUUACAUAGAAUAAAGUAGGAUUAAAAGGUUGUAGGAUAUAUACCUUUGUUUUGCAAUGUACAAAUUCCUGUGAAUCAAUGAAGAAACCAGUAGUAAACUUAGGGCAAUCUCUUACUUUCAACUCUAUCAUUGCUGGGAAUACAGAAUGAUAUCCUUUGGGACAAAAGUGAAUGAGGCCAGGUAGUUCUUCAAGUGAUAACCUUUUUAAUUUAUCAAAUUUCAUCUCCUCUUAAGCUACCACUUCCACUUUUUCUUCUAAUUCGAAUACUUGUUCCAAUUUAGAAUUCCUUUUAACUAUGAGAAUUUUAAGCUUUGGAAGAACAGGAACAAAUCCAAAAGGAAAGAGACUGUUCAAUUUUUUACAAUUUGUAACAACGAUCCGAGUCAAAUUGGGAAAGCUCAUAGGUUGGAGGCUAGUAUCACCAUUUGAUGAUGAUGAAGAAACUUGAUCCUUGGCUAAAAUGAGUCGUUCUAUUUCCUCACACCCCACGAUGAAAAGAUCCACCAAAUGUGAUAAACUGCGAGCCAUCAUAGGUGAAAAUAUAUAUCUUAGCUUCUUGCAAUCACUCAGUGUUAGAGUUGUAAGGUUCUCAAGGGUUACAACUUGAGCAAAAUCGUUCCAUAUAACCCGCAAUUCUAAUAAAUUCCUCAAUUUCAAUUUUUUAUGCUUGAGAACGAGUACCCGCCUUGAACUUGAAAUACUUCUUCAUGAUUCCCAACUACUAUACAACCUUCAUUCAAUACAGGAACAUCAGUGUUGCAUAAUUGGUGGCUAUUUCCCACAUUACUAAGAACCAAUUCCUGCAUACACAGAAAUCCUAAUAAAUGUCAUAAAAACACACUAGAGUAAAUGUUACCCAUAAGUCUUCAUAAUUUUACAUAUUUCAAGUAAUAAAAUAUACUACUUCUCUAAUCUCAAUGCUACAUGUAUCUUUGAUUUUUUAAAGGAUAUAUUUUUUAAAUCUAAACCCCUAAAAUAUCUACCAAAUUCAAAAGGCCAUUGCUUGAUACAUUUUUAUUUAAAGAGUGAACAAUGGAAUUCAUUUACAAAACUAUGUAUAAAAGAGGAAUGAAUUAUCACAUGAACUAAGCAACAUAUCGAUUUACUGAUUUGCUAUAAUGCCAAAAUCCAUAUAUAAAAUGCGAACAAUCUAAAUAUCUCUAUGAGCUGAGCUUGUACAAUGAAGCAUGAGAUUUGGGGACAAUUUGACACUACUAAAUCUUGCAGAAAGGGCACAUUAAGUAGAAUGUGAUCACCAAUCACAUCCCUUUCUUUUGUCGAACUGAAGACUUGUAGUAGUUGAGGGCAGUUCUCUAGGUAAACAGAUUCCAACAAUGGAAAUCCCUGAGAUAAAGUGUUUGCAAACACAUAUUUCAAUCGUUGGCAAUCCACUAUCCGGAGAGUUUUCAAUUUUGUCCAGCAAUGAUUCUACAUGAAUGAACCACAUAGUUAGAUAUUAUACCAAAUAUAUUUGUUUAAAUAAAAGUGAGGAAUAUGAUUUAUUAAACAUAAUUUAAGUUUUAAAGAAUUUCUUUACCAAAACAUAUGAAAAAGAUAUAAAUUGAUCUUUGAAUGUACCAAUUAUAAAGAGAUGUAUUUAUUAUAUUUUGGAACUGUGAUACCCCAACCACUUCAAAAUCAUUAAUCAUGACAAUAAAAAAAUAAAAAUACAAUAUGCAUUGUAAUAGUCGAUGAGAGAGAUUGAACUCUGAUACUCGUUUAACUUUAAAAUCAAAGAAUUAUGAAUACAAUUUUUUUUAGUCCAACCCGAAAUUUCGAAUAAAAAUAUUAAUAUUAUUCUACAAUGAUAUCAAUACAUAUUUAUGCAAACACUGUAUUAAUAUCUCACAUAAAUUAUCAAAUUAAAAUAUGGUAGCCUUGCAAAAACAAAUCAUAUUAUGGUAAAUUAAUUUAAUAAUUUUCUAAAAUAUAAUUUAAAUAAUUAUUAUUAUAUUAAAUAAAUAUAAAAUAUAAAUAAAUAUAUUAAAGCUUAACAUCAAUAGAAAAUAAAUAUAUAAUAUUUCUCUAUUUUAAUUUUUACUAUUUAUAAUUAUACAUGAAUUAUUUAAAAUAUGAAUGUUAUAGUAUAUUAGUAUUUGAUAACAAAAAUUUAUAAAUUAAUUUGAUAUACUAAUUUUAAAAACAUAUAGUUGUAAUUUAAUUUUUAAGUUAUUAACUUUUUAUAUUUUUAAAUGGUUGUCAUAUGGUAUGUGUAUGUUCGAUUUGAUUUAAACUCAAUAAAAAAAAUUGAAUUGAACACUACAAUUCAAAUUAAGUUUCAAUUUUUUCAACUCUUUGCUCAGCCUUAAAAAUGUAAAUACAGAAGUACCUGUGAUCCAAGUUCAGGAAGCACAAUAUCAUGUCCAUGCUUAUUUUGUUCCAUGUUGAAGACUUGUAUAAGUUGAGAACAAUCUCUAAUGUAAACAGAUUCCAAGGAUUGAAGCCCUUGAGUCCAAGUGUUUGCACAAACAUAUUUCAAAUUUGGGCAAAAUUCUAUGCGAAGAAUCCUCAAUUUCGGCCAACAACAAAGAGGAGAGUCAUUCUACAUGUUUCAAACACACAUCUUAGUAAGUUAUUUAUAAAACACACAAUCAAAAUAAAUAAAAUUGAAUUUAUUUUUUAUAAUUAGGAAUGGAGAAUAAAAUUGUUUGAAAUUGAAUUCAAGUAUUCAUGUCUGCAAUAUAAUAUUUAUUUUAAAUUAUAAAAAUAUUAAAGCAUUAUUAUAAAUUAAAUAAAAGAUAGAAUUUCCUUCUAUAUAAAUAAUUACAUUCUUCUAUCAUGUAAAUUGUGUUGAAGUCAAACAAACCUUAUAAGUGGGCAAUCCAUGGGCAAAAGUCAAGGUGGCAUGGAAUUAAUUGAAGGCUUAUCCAUAAAUAAAUAAAAUAAACAUAAAAUGAGAGAGGUGGCAAUUGAUGAGGUGGUUUUUGAGCCUAUUAUAAGGUUUCAUAUAUUUGUGACAUGAAGAAAAAGAAAGAGUAAGAAAUGAAAGAAAUGUGUGUGAGUUGAGUUUGUGUGCACAAGAGUGGAAAUAUGCAAAGAGUGAAUUGUGAGUGUAUAACUAUUGGUAACUAGAAAUUGAGAGAGGGGAAACUAUAUUUAUAUUUUGUGUAAGUGUAUAUGCAAAGAGUGAAUUGUGAGUGUAUAACUAGUGGUAACUAGAAAUUGAGAGAGGAGAAACUAUAUUUAUAUUUUGUGUAAGUGUAUUUGUUUUGAGUAAUAAAAGUUAAUUUCCUUAGUCACUACUACACUUCCAAUAGGUGGUAUCCAAGUUACAUUGGUGUCCUCGUCACAAGGAGAUGACAAACAUGUUUCAACCAUAGAUAGAAUCACAAACCAAAUUAAAAUCCAUGAUCCUAGGGAUUGUCUUGGGCAAUUUCAAAUCAAUCUAAUCUCCAAAAGAUAAUCUCCUAAGUGAUAUGAUCUUCUAUAAUGGUCUAGAUAUCAAUCGUAGACUCAAUCAUACCCCAUAAAAGUCAUUCAAUAAGUUGCCAAUAUAAUAAAUAUGGAAAAGGUCUCCAUAUCGAUUUAGUGCUCUAGGGAAUGAAUACUUCCUUUGACACUAAAAUGUGAGUUUUUUCAACAGUAUCAAACUGACCUUGUAAGUUAGCAAUCUAAAGGUAGAAUAAAGUGGCAUGGAAUUAAUUAAACGCUUUUCUAUAAAUAGAUAAAAUCUAAAUAAAAAUGAGAGACAACAAUUCAUAAUGCAUUUUAUAAGCCUAUAAAUAGGUUUCAUAUAUAUGUGAUAUGUAAAAGCAAGCGUGUGAAAGAGAAGAAAAAGAAAGAGUAUGAAACAAAACAAAGGUGUGUGACUUUGUGUGCAUGAGUGGAAAUAAGCAAAGACUGAAUUGUGAGUGUAUAACUAGUUGUAGGUAGUAAUUGAGAGGGAGAAGAAAACAUAUUUGUAUUUUGCAUUGGUGUAUUUCUUUUUAGUAAUAAAAGUUAAUUUCUUUAGUGGCCACAAUGCUUCCAACAAACCAGAUGCACACAAAUAAUAAAAGAAUCAAAACCAAUCUAAACUCAAUAAAGGUUUUCUUUCAAUUUGUCUCAUCCCUGAAAAAAUGCUAUAAAAAAGCUAAAACAAUUAAGAAGAUUAACAAAAUUGGAGAGAAUAGGUAUCCCUACCUCAAUAAUCUCUUCUUCUUGGACAAAACCAAUGACUUGCUCUAAUCCAUGGCACCAAGUUACAUCGAGUUCUUCUAGAUGCAGCAUACUUAGAGCUAGGCAAGGUGAGAAGAUUGUUUUUAGUUUAUCACAGUCACCAAUUUUUACAACCUUUAAUCUUGCGAGGCUUGCAGUUGCAUGAUGUGAUGGCUCUAAUUUCCAUAUGCUCUCCAAUUUCGGCAAUGAAUAUAGUUCCAAUAUUGUUAAAUUUGAGAGCAAUGGCAUCUGACAUUUCACUUUUUCUGAAAGUUUAUCCAUUUGAAAUAUCACUUGUAACUCUUUACAAUCUCUAAUGAUCACUUGCUUAAGAUUUUGCAAGAACCUAGUCGGAGAAAGACCAUAGCACAACCCUUUCAAAGAAACCAUGUUUGCUACAUUUCAUUCCACCAAAUUAGAGAAUGCAACAGUUGGCCCUUGAUCUCUUGUUAUAUCAGUCAAGAAUUCCAUAUCCUUGCAAGAUUCAAGCUCCAAAGAAGUCAACUCAUUUACUCCCAUUUUACCUAUGCUUGGCACAAUGUUCUUCUGUCCACUAACAUUCCCCAACUUCAACUUUUCCACAUUGCAAAAUAAAUGGUUAAAUGCACUCAAUGAGGAUGAAAAGUUUUUAAUUGUCAAUGCUCUGAAGCUUAGUGACUCUAGAUAUCUAAUAUAGUCAUUUACAACUAUAGCAUACCUUUGUAGUUUAGGGAGCACAAAAUAUUCUUGAGAAAAAUGAUUAGUAGAAAGUCUUAGUGAUAGACAACGAAUUCAGCUCCAAUAAGUUGAUAUUGCUUUUGCUUCUCACAUGUAUCUCUUCCAGUGAAGUCAACCUAUUAUAUUCAUAAAAAAAAAUAGCAUUAAUUGUCAAGUUAUGUGACACAAUACAGAUUGGUCCAAGUCCAAAAAUAAAAACUAUCAUGUGAGUCAAAUUUUUUAUGUUUAAAAGAACACAUUUUUAUAAUUUUGAAAAAAAAAAGUUAAAUGCAAAAAUAAUUUUGACAACAUAAAAUCAUAUAAUUACUAAAACUGAAGUCAUUAUUAAAGUGAAAUUACAAAUUAUUCAUAUCACAUAUAUUUUAAAAUAUAACUAAUACUCAACAAAUCAACUAUUUUAUCUUUAUAUUUUAUUAAAAAAAUUAUUUAUUUUAAUUACCAGUAAUAUUGUAUUAAACUUAAUUAACUUUUUAUUGAGUAUGUCAUAUUCAUUUUUUAUAUCUACUUUAAUCUAUAACUUAAUCAUAGUCCACAUAUAUUUCUUGCUGACAUUACACUUUUAUUUUAUAUAUCAGGUCAACAAAUAAUUUAAAAUUUAUAAAAAUAUUUAAAAAUUCAAAAUUCAAAAUAAAAAAAUAUAAAAAAAUAGCAUGAAGUAUACAUGGAUUGCCAUGCUGUCUUCCAUGUUUAAAAUUUUAAAAUUUUAAUUAGUAUUUCGUCAAAAAAAAAAUUCAACACUUCUUCAAAUGUUGAUGCUCAAAUUUAAAAUUUAAAAGGUUCAGAGUCAAAUUUAGCUAAAAAAAAAUAAGUGCUAAAUUGAUAAAUAAUGUAAAUAUUAAGAGUUAAUUUUUUCAAAUUAACUUAUUUUUUCAAAUUUAUUGCAUUCACUAUUUGAAAUAUCUAUUAAAGUAAUUAAUAGAAAUAUGAUAAAAAAAGAAAUUAAAUCUGAUGCACUAUUACCUUGAUAGCAGGUUGGGGGGGAAAUUGAUUUCUUCUUCCUCUUCAACUGCAACAAAUAAUAAUUUCAGUGCAGGCAAUUUCACUAAUUCUUCACUUAUCUCAUCAAACUUAGUCUCAAACAAUGCAAGAAUCUCAAGGCUUCUCAUAUUUGUCAGUGAUGAUGAGAAGUUUUCCAGAUUGCAUCUAAUACAGCACAAAGUUUUAAGAUUUGGCAAGGAAUGGAAUCCUUUCAGUGGAAAGACAUUUUCGAGGAGCAAAACUCGGAGGGCUUUCAUUUCUUCAAAAAAUGUAUUGGGAACCACAAGUAAAUCAUCCCCCGCUCCCCCCUUCAGAAACAAAGUCUUGAGCUUUGAAAACUCCACUUUAUCAGGGAAAUUUUUUAUGUUACUACUACAAUUCCAUAAAGCGAUUGCAGUAUAACAUCCAACCAUAUGAGGCCAUUCUUUCAACUUAUCUUUUACCAUGAACCUAUUUUCUCCGGUUGAUGUUAGCCAAUGGGCAAAAUCUCGAACCCCAUCAUGCAUUCUUAUCGUUUCUGCAACAUCAGUUUCCAAUAACAAGCCAGAUUUUUGGAGUUUUUUUAGUGCCAUGCCAAUUUCAUUCCUUUUAUCUUCAAUCGAGAAAGCAUUAGGGAACAAUCCUACUCCAAUUCCGCACAUAAUCAAUACGUCACUAAUGAUUUCAGCAUCUUCAGGAGGGAACACAGUAAGUAACACAUUUGGAUGUCAUUUCCCGUCAUUUGGCUAUUGCCUUCUUUCAAAUAAUCGUAGCUAAGCUUGAGAGGCUUGAGGGCACCUCCGAGAACUUCUUCAUUAUCCAAAUGCCUUGAGUCCUUGAAUCUCUGAUUCACGGCUCUCCACCCAUCUAAACUCUCACCUUUUAGAGCUUUUGCCACGGUAACAAUUGCAAGAGGCAAUCCCUUACAUUCACCAGCAACCUCUUUGGCUACAUGAGUCAAGGUGGAACAGUCGUCUUCUAAACCAGCUUUAUCUCAAAGUAAAACCCAUGCUUCGUCUUCGGAUAAGAUGCCAAGUUGAAUUUCCUUCUGACAGUUCAUUUUAGUGCAGACUUGUUGAUGACGUGUAGUCAGAAGAAUUUUACAACCCUUGUGUUCAUCACCGAAUGGAAUUCCGAUGCUCUCCAAUUUGAAUUCUUCCCAGAGGUCAUCGACAAUUACGAGGAUUUUUUUCACGCCUUGCAUACUCCUGAAUAGCUCUUCUGCUUUUCCUUCUUGGCUACUUGUUUCAAAAUGUAAACCAAAAAUAUCAGCAACUUUCUCUUGAAUUUUCUUGAUGUUUGGAUUUUGGGACAUAGUAAACAUCACAACUUUAUCAAAGAGCUUUUUUUCUCGAGCAUGCUUCCCAACUUCUUUGGCUAAAGUAGUUUUACCAACUCCUGGCAUUCCGUGCAGUCCGAUCAUGUUGACAGAAUUUAUAGCCUCCAUGAUCUGGUUCAAAGCCGAUUUUGAUGAUUCAGAGUCCAUGAAAUCCGUGGAUGUGAUGAACUCUAUUCCUUGAAGAGAACCACAAUACCCCAACUGUGGAAAAUUAGAAGUUUCUGUUGGAACAAUGGCAGCAGCAAAAAGAAACAGAACAAGACAGAGAAUAAAGGAGGAAGAAACAAAAACAAUUUACUUGCUCACAAACGUGCAGCAAGGGAGCUAAUGGUUGAUAGCUCAUUCAGCUCAUUCAUUCAACUAGAAAAACAACAUAUAUAUAGUCAAAUACAUCACCAAAUACUACCUACUACCACUAGUUUUACUUUGAAACAAGUAAAACUUAACUUGCACACAAGCUGAUUAUGUCAAUCAGCACCUAAAAACAUCAAAACAAUACCAACUUAGUUCAUUUUCAACUAAGUAGCUUAACAAAGAAACUAAAGAGAAAUCCUUGCUGUUACAGCAAGUAUACGUGCUGCAGCAUGUCAUCAAGCUGCAUGCACUUCAAACAAAACAUGUAACAGCAGCAUGGUUGGCCAAUUUCAACACUCCUCCUUGAACUCCAUGCUGCAAAUACCAGUCAUUCAUCAAGUUUUUGAACUUGGCAGCCCUUAGAUGCUUUGUUUCAAGCUGACCAAUUCAUUUUCAACCUUGGCCUCAUUUACAAACAACAAAUCUGACUUACACACUUGACUAUACUAGUCUUUUGUGCCAAAGAUUUGUUCAUCAAAUGGAGUCUUCUCCUCCUUCACAGCCUUGGUUGACAACACAUCUUGCCUUGUUUCUUUUCUUCUUCUUGCACAAACAGUUCGUGAGUAUAGUUUGCUUGCCUUCAUUCUGCCAUUUUGGCUUGCAAUUCGACAGGCUCACACUUUGCUUACUGUCUUCAAUAGGCUUGCAACUAUUCAACACACAUUGAGCUUCCACAUGUUGCUGAACUCACACCUUUGACAGACUCACAUCUUUGCAUAUUGUCUUCAACAGGUGUCUUCAACAGGCUCGCACUUUGCUAAGCUUGCAGCUUUGACAUCUUGCUAAGCUUGCACAUUUGGAAAGCUCACACCUUUCCUUGAAACUCCUCCUUUAGCUUAUUCAAGCUUGUUUGGAGGUCUCAUAAGUUUGAGCCGAUGUUGAGCAGGGGAAGCAAAAUCAAUGGUCCCUUAAGACUUAGGCUCAUGAUACCAUUUGUUGGAACAAUGGCAGCAGCAAAAAGAAACAGAACAAGACAGAGAAUAAAGGAGGAAGAAACAAAAACAAUUUACUUGCUCACAAACGUGCAGCAAGGGAGCUAAUGGUUGAUAGCUCAUUCAGCUCAUUCAUUCAACUAGAAAAACAACAUAUAUAUAGUCAAAUACAUCACCAAAUACUACCUACUACCACUAGUUUUACUUUGAAACAAGUAAAACUUAACUUGCACACAAGCUGAUUAUGUCAAUCAGCACCUAAAAACAUCAAAACAAUACCAACUUAGUUCAUUUUCAACUAAGUAGCUUAACAAAGAAACUAAAGAGAAAACCUUGCUGUUAUAGCAAGUAUACGUGCUGCAGCAUGUCAUCAAGCUGCAUGCACUUCAAACAAAACAUGUAACAGCAGCAUGGUUGGCCAAUUUCAACAGUUUCUAAAAGUUUAGAGAUAAUAAGAGUCUUCUCUGCCAGUUUCUUACUUAAACGAUAUCGCCAGCUCCAUUGAGGACACCAUUUGAACCGCUUGACGCCAUCUAUUUCCUCUUCGAAGUUCUGGGUUUCUUCCAGUUCUUUCUCAGCCCUUCUAAGCCAGUCUUCAACGUCUUCAUAGAUGACCUUAAUUUGCCUUUUAGCCUCAUCGACACGAGUUUUCACCCUCUGUUUCCUCAAUUUAAGUUCCUUUCGUUGAUUCUUGAAAUCUUCAACAAUCUCUCCAUAACAGAAAAAGUAACGGAGAUAAGGUGAUGCGUAUUCCUUUGCCUGGUUUUUCACACUUUCGACAGCAUUAGAGGCAACAUAUUCUGCCAUUUUUGUUGAUAGUCUGAUGAAGUUGAACAAAAACUUUGGUUGUUAGUAAGAAGAUUAACAUAAAGACAAAUGAAAGCAAUUGUGAAUGCUUGCUUAACUAACAGUAGUAGGAAUCAUCAAUGGAUUUGAUUUGCAAAUUACUUUGCUUUUAAAUCAGUCUUUCUAAACCAAAGAGAAUGGAAGCUACCAAUUAAGAAGCUGUACUUAUUGUUCAAAACCAAAGAGAUUAUUAUAUUUGCGUAGAAAAAGAUAAUUUUUUAAGAAGCUAGAAAUUAUUCUUGAACUUACGUCUCUGUGAUCACCCUUGAAUACCAGAAAGUAAAUAGAGCUGUAAAAGAUCAAAAGAGUUGAUUUAGUGCACGUAAUAGAAAAUUGUGAAAAGGCCAAUAAUAUGAAAACACCAACACAAACUAGAUGGCAUUCAACAAAAAGAUGAAAAUAUAUAGCAAGGAAGAUGAAGUUUCAUGAGGAGCAGUUCCUCAAAACUUACCUUCACUGAACUAUCCUCUGAGCUGUUUCUUUUGCCAAGUGGAAAUCAAGGUAAGAAGAAAGUUUGCUUUUCAGAAAUAAAAUAAAGGUUGUAGGUUUUUGUUUCGUUUCCCCCUUAAUUGAGACAAUACAAGAAAAUGUGAAAACUGAAAAACAAAUAGUGGGAACGACCAGAAACACAGAUUUGAGAAUUUGAAAGCAAAAACAAAUUUGUUGACUUUGGAUGAAGAAAAAACAAUGGGAAGUCGUUGGUUCAAGUUCAAUGUUUUCUUCAUCAUUAAUUUCAUUUGUUAUUUAGUGGAUGACAAAUAAAGACUCUACUCUUUAUCCACCUUUCAAAGCCUGCUCCACCACAUGACCUAUUCCCUUCUCCAAAUGGUACGAAGUUGUUUGCUAUUGCUUUGCUCCCAACAUUCUUUAUUUAUAUCUAUAUUUAUAAAUAUGCCCUUCAAAAUUUUUAAAAUUUAUUAUUCAAUUCUAUCCUUUUAAAACAUAAUGGUUUAUGUAGUCUUUCAACUUUAUGAAAAAAGUUAUUUUAACAUUUUUUUAAAAUAUUCAUCACUUUUAACCCUUAAAUUUGUAUUAAUUAUCAAAUCACCAGAAAAUAGACGAAAAAGUUAACCUUUGUUAACUUUGCUAACAUGAUAUACGCGUAGACGUCACAUAACAAUAAACAAAUUAUUUAAAAAUUAUUAAAAUUAUUAAAAAAAAGUAUAAAAGAUAUAUUUUUUAAAAUUUUUAAUUUAAUAUAUUAAAAAAUAUAUAAUAUUUGCUUUAAAAUUAAGCAUCUCUCUUCAAAUGAAUGAUAGAACAAAUUAAAGUUUAAUAUAUUUUAAUAAAAUAUUAUAAAUUAUCAACAAUUUCUUAGCCUAGUGACAAGAGUAUUAGGUUCUAGGUAUAAGAGCUUCGGUUUAAUCCCAAACAACCCCUACCCCACAUUAUCAAAAAAUUAAAAGAUUAUAAAUUAAAUAUAUAAUGUCAAAUUUAGUCCUUAAUUUUUAAUCUUUUGUUAAUUUGACUCUUAGAUUUCUUUUACCAUCAACCUUUCAAAACUAGUUAAGUUAUUAAGUUUUUAAUGGAAAUGCUUACUAAAUUAUUAAUUUUUAAACAUGGUAACACAUGUAGUAAUUCACAUGUACUUUAUGCUAAUUGUUUUGAAUUUUUAUGAACUUUUUAUAAUUUUUUUUUUAAUUUUGAAUAUGUUGAGGUAAGUUUUGAAGUCACUUGUUAAGUGUCAAUUAGAAGUGUUCACUUUCAUUUUUUUGCGAUAAUUUGAUAUUUGUAUUAUUUGAUGUUAUUCAUUUACUGUAAAAGAAAGUUUCGUACUUUCAAUGGUUCUGAUAUUCUUUUUGGUAGAAAAAAAAUAGCUUAAAACAAAAAAACUCAAAAAGUUACACUAGUGACUAAAAGCAAGAAUAUAAUCCGCCUCAAAUCAACGAAUUUCUAUGGAAUUAGUCGUUAUACACUUGGCCAUAUGAUCAACUAUUGUAUUUUGCGACCUCGGAAUAUGACGAACAAGGACCUUCCAAUUUCGACUCAAUAAAUGAUGGAUAAGACACAUUUUAGUCAAAUAACUAUCUGCAACUCCACCAGCUAAAAUCAGUCAACUAAGAGAGCUAUCAUAUUCCACUUCCAAUUAUGCUUAAUGUUUGGAUGUAUGCAAAUUUAAAUUUAAAAUUCAAUCUUUAAAUUAUGAAGAAUGAAUCAAGAUCACAUUGAAGAUAUUGAAGAAUCAAUCUCUAAUAACCUAAUUCACAUUUAUUUUUAUUAGUAUAUUAUAUUCUACUAUUGUUUUGAAUGAAAGACCAAAUCAGGAAUAAAAUUUGAUAAAGUUCCAAGGUUUCUAAAAUUAUGUGUUUGCAUUUUAUGAAGAAAAUUCCAUCUCUAAUAUUCCAUGGGCAUAGACUUUCCUAUUCUUAAUUGCUCGAAGAUGGCGUAUUGACUUCGCAAGUGAGACUAUCAUUUAUAAAAUUUUGAAUUAAUAAUAGUAAAAUUAUAUUUUGAUUCAUUCAAAAUUAAUUAAAAUUUGAUAUAAUCAGUUAAAAUUUAUAAAAAUAUAGACUAUAAAAAUUGUGAAAUUACACUUUUAUUAUCGUAAAAAUAUAUAAUUUAAUUCUGAUCCCAAACAAAAAAAAAUUCUAACUCAAUCACUGCAGGUAACGUUGUUUAGAUGUGAAUAAUUUAAACCAGAAUUGUCAAUGUGGGGCUCCAAAAUUAUUGAGAGUUUCCACCAUUGAAUCUGAGUUUUCCUUUGUGUUUAUUUGAGGAGUCUUUCGUCUAUCAGUUUCUUAUACAAGACAAAUCUUUAAUUCCACGAAAUAAAACUUAAGGUAGUCAAAGAUCAAAUUCACAUUAUAUAUAUUUUUAAUAUCUCUUACAUUUUGAUGGCAUUAUAUAGUUUUAAAUGAUAUAAUAGUUUUUAACAAAUUUAAGUAACUUUUAUAAUUUUUUGAAUAUUAUAUGUACUAAAUAUUUUAUAUCUUUUUUAAAAAGUUGAUUUUUAAAUUUUUAAAAAUUAAGUUUUUUUUCAUUUAUAUUUUGUUAAAUUUUUAUAACUAAGGCAAAAUCAAUAAACUGUAUAAAUAUCGAGGGUUAAUUUUGUUACUUCUUUUAAAAUUUAGGAUUAAAUUAACAAAAUAUGUAAAUAUUGAACUUACAACAUUUUCUCCGAUGACCACAGACUUUUUAACUAUGGAGUGAAUACAACAGAAAGUGAAUAAAAUAACAAAAGAGAAUUUGGUAACCAAAACAGAACAGUCUAAAACUUGGAUGAUGAUUAUUAUUUUAGCUGAAUCAACUAUAUUAGAUAACUGAAAUGGUCAAACCAUACAACACAAUAGUUACAUAAAAAACAAUGAACUCGUAUCAACAUCUUAUUUAGCCAACUCAUUUGCCCAGCUAUUAGACUCCCUAGAAACAUACAUAAAAUUGAUAGAUCCAAUAGCAUUCACCAGAGUGUCCACACGUUUAAAUACUUUCGCAAAAUUCCAUGGUUGAAUACACGGGUUUGAGCACCAAGAAAUAGAAAGCAUGGGAUCCGACUCAAUGACAAGGUGUUUACACCCAACCCAACCAGAAUUUGCAAAGAUCUCCAAACCAUUCUCAAUGGCCAACAAUUUAGCGUUUGCAGCGUAUCCCUCACCCAUCGGACCCGAACACAAGGCUAGAACACAUCCAUUCUUGUCCCCAAGUACUCCUCCCAUUUCAGUCUUUCUGAGACAGCCUCUAGAGGAGCCAUUCAUGUUAAACUUUACAAAACCAAUUGCAAGAGGUAGCCAAAGAUUCGAGUUGUGAAUGAAUAAAAACAACACUCCGGAGGGUUAUUCCACCAACAAUCUCCCUAAUAAAUGCAACUUUAAUCUAGAAAUUAAGGAAGUGAAGCUUUGUCAAAAGCAAAUGUUCACCCAAUGGCAACAAUUUCCCCCUAAAGAUCAACUCGUUACGAGCCAACCAAAUCGACCAAAGUCCAGCCGCAACGCAAAUUAACCAGUGUUACUUAGCUUUUCCAUUUAAAAAUAAACAAAAGCUCCCCAACAAGAAGCCAUCCAAGGAUCAAUUUAGAAAAUGGUACGAAACAGAAAUGGAGAAGAGUUCGGUGGAGAAAAUAGGAGAAAGAAAGAGGAAGAAAGAGCAAGAGAGAAGAAAGAGAAGAUUUUGAGAAAACUUGUCAUGUAAUUUCAUAACUGUUUCUGUCAUUUGUCUGGUGGCUAAAUAGCAAAAUUAACAAACUCAUGACAGCUGUGCCAUCCAGAUAAUACAACCCGCUUCAUUAAAUUGUCUUAUAGGUUGCAAAACGCACCAUUUUGCACCAUAGCCUUCCCCACCUAGUUGGAAUGCCCCGUUUUAUUUAAAUACAUUGAAAAGCAUGAUUACAAAUUUAAAAUUGCAUAAACAGAAAUUAGCAUAAUUUUAAAAGUGGUCUCGAUUUAAAAAUUUGAAAAUAGUGUCUCGAUUUUAUUUGAAAAAAGAGUCGCCAUCGAUCUUUUUUCUAGGUGUGAUCGGACACCUUAAAAAUUCUUUUUUUUAGAAAAAUUUAUUUUUAAACUUUUCUAAAAAGAGGUAAUUUUAGGUCCACGUCAAAAUCCAGAGAAAAUUAGGGUUCGGGAGUUAGUUACGCGCGAGGAAGGUAUUAGCACCCUCGCGACGCCCAAAAUUGGUAUCUCGUUAAACGCGCAUUCUCUUCAUUUUCAGAAAUAUGAGUUCAAUUUAAUAUUUACUCGCGAUUCGAUUGAAACAUGAGACUUUUAUUUUUAAAACACGAGAAUUUUGAAGCACGAAUUUUUUUAAAAAAACACGAAAGUUUUUGAAACACGAGAAUUUUGAAGCACUAAAUUUUUAAAAAAAAAACACGAAAGUUUUUGAAACACGAGAAUUUUUGAAAACACGAAAAAUUUUUGAAAACACGAAAAUUUUUGAAACACCGGAAUUUUUGAAAACACGAGGAUUUUUGAAACACAAAAAUUUUUGAAAACACAAAAAUAUUUUAGAACACUGAAAUUUUUAAAACAUGGAAAUUUUUUGAAAACAUGAAAAUUUUUGAAAACACAGAAAUUUUUAAAACACGGGAAUUUUUUGAAAACAUGAAAAUUUUUGAAACACGGAAAUUUUUAGAAAACACGAAAAUUUUUUGAAUCACCGGAAUUUUUGGAAACACGAAAUUUUUUGGAACACCGGAAUUUUUGAAAACACGAGGAUUUUUGAAACACGAAAAUUUUUGAAAACACAAAAAUUUUUAAAACAUGGGAAUUUUUGAAAACAUGAAAAUUUUUGAAACACCGGAAUUUUUGAAAACACGAAGAUUAUUGAAACAAGGGAAUUUUUUGAAAACACGAAAAAUUUGAAAAACAGAUUCUUUUUUUAUUUUUAUUUUUUUAAAACACGAAUAUUUUUGAAACCACGGAGAUUUUUUUAAACACAAAUUUUUCGAUUUUUUAUUAAGCACGUAUUGUAUUUAACACAAACCGGUGAUAUUCACUCAACACAGCAAUGAAAUCAACGAAUUGGUGUCAAAUCGAUUCGUUGCCUUAUUUUUUUUGAAAACACGAAUAUAUUUUGAAACACAAGAAAAUUUUUUUUGAAGACACGAAAAUUUCGAAACACGGGAAUUUUUUUCGAAAACACAAAAUUUUUUGAAUAUUUUCGAUUUUUAAAAGGGAGUAUCGAGUUUAACGCAAACCGGUGAUAUUCACCCAACAUAGCGAUGAAAUCAACGAUUUAAUGUUAAAUCGAUUCAUUACCUUAUUUGUUAAAAUUAUUUAAAAUAAAAUAAAAUUGAAAUUGAAUUAAAUUAAAAAUAUAAAUACAAAAAUAUAAAAAUGCAUAAAGUACUGAUAAUAUUAAAACGAAAUAGUAUAAAAAUACGGACAUUAAAUUAAAAGUGAAAUAAACGAAAUUACCUAAAAAUCUAAAACACGAGCUUGAUUGGAAGGGUUAUGCAAAUUGAACCCUUUUUUUAUUUUUUUAUUUUUUUCUUUUCUUUUCUUUUUCUUUCUUUCUCUUUUUUUUCCUUUUUUCGGCCUGCUGGACCGUAGACUUCGGCCUGCUGGCCUUUAGGGGCUGCUGGACGGGCCCGGCCUGCUGGGCUGAUGGGGACUGGGCUGCUGCAGGCCUGCUGUUUGGGUUGCUAUUGGGCUGGCUAAAAAUGGCCUGCUAUUAUUUUUUUCUGCUGCUUCUUUUUUUUUUUUUGCUUUGUGUUUUUUUUGGGCUGCUUUGGGCUUGACUAUUGGGCUCGCUGGGUCGGGUUGGGUCACCGAAUCGGGUCGGGUCAGACUAGGUUCGGGUCGGUUUGACCCGAAUGUUAAUUAAAUUUUUUCUUUUUUUCUUUCCCUCUUCUUUCUUCUUCUUUCUUUCUUUCUUUCUUCUUCUUCUUCUUCUUCCUCAAAACCGAGCCACCACACCGCCACUUCUUUCACGCUGCCGUUCGAGCUACCGCCGUCGACUCCACCGGUCCUUUCUCUUUCCUUUCGAAAAAGCUCCCUUUUUGUGGGUUUUUUCUUUGAAAUUUUUUUGUGUUGGCGGUCUAAUUUUUGGGGUUUUAAGCCCCUUUUAUAAUUGAUUUUUUGUUCCUUUUGCAGGUAGCAAGUGGGCUAGGGAGGGCCUAGGUCGGCCGCCGCCGUUGCAGGUGCAACUUGUGUCGGUGGCUGCCAGAAGGACCCAAAUGUAAACGCAGCAAAAUUUUUGGGGCUUAAACGUAAUUUUGAGAAAAUUUUGGGCCAAAACGUAAUUUAGAGAAAGUUUAGGGGUAAAAAUGUAAUUUAGAAAAGUUUAGGGAUUGAAAUGUAAUUUAGAAAAAGUUAAAGGGUUAAAAUGUAAUUUUAGAAAGUUGAGGGAUCAAAAUGCAAAUUUUUUAAAAAAGAUUUUUCUUUUUUUUUUAAAACACGAAAUUAAUCCUGGACAAAAUUCAGUGAUUACACAACCCGGUUCAUUAAAUUGUCUUAUAGGUUGCAAAAUGCACCAUUUUGCACCAUAGCUUUCCCCACCUAGUUGGAACGCCCCGUUUUAUUUAAAUACAUUGAAAAGCAUGAUUACAAAUUUAAAAUUCCAUAAACAGAAAUUAACAUAAUUUUAAAAGUGGUAAACCAGUGUUGACUUUUCUUCUCGUUCCAUAACAAUUACUCCCUACUUGAAUUAGAUCAUUGUCCUCAAGUAUCAAAACCUAGAAAUUUCUUUUGGACCUUUUGCAAGUUCUCCCAUGUAGAAUCUUCUACAAAUGUUUAGCCCAUCCGACAAGCACUUCAGUAGCAAUGUGAUUCCCCUAUUUCACCAUUCGCUGAUCUAGAUUUCUUACAGGCUCUUUGGGUAGUGCCCUAUCUAAUCGGCUAUCUGUUUCAUCCUCUCUUGUGACCUAUUGAAAUGAAAUUGCAACAGCUUCCUAGCGUUCUCACGGUGUUGAAGACUUCGAUCAACUGUCGCUACUAUUAAGGAUCCAACAAGGUAGGGAAGAUGCAGUGGAGGGCUCUGGCCAUAUAGCGCCUCGUAUGGCGUGGUUUGAAUAGUCGAAUGGUAGGUGGUAUUGUACCACCAUUCUGCUAAGGGUAACUAGAACAAACAUUCCUUAGGGCAUUCACCUGUCAUGCAUUGCAGAUAUCCUUCUAGACAAUGGUUCAAGACAUCAGUCUGCCCAUCUGUUUGUGGGUGGUAAGUAGUGGAUAAAUGCACCCUAGUACCCAACUGUUUGAAUAACUAUUGCCAAAAAGUGUUAACAAAAAUCUUGUCACAAUCGGAUAUUAUGGACUUGGGGGCUCCAUGUUGCUUGUAAAUAUGCCUCAUAUAAUCUUGAGCAACAGUCAGUGCUGUGAAGGGAUGAACAAAAGCCAAAAAGUGGCAGUAUUUGGUUAAUCGAUCUACCACUACAAGGAUCACAUUCUUGCCUUGGGACUUUGGAAGACCUUCCACAAAAUCCAUGCUAAUGGCCUCCGAAGCUCGAUAUGGUAUGGGAAGGGGUUGUAGAAGUCUUGGAGAAGCAAACAGAUCAGCCUUACAUUUUUGGCAAAUAGAGCAUUCUCUAAUCCACAUCUUUACAUCCUUGGAUAAGCCUUUCCAGUAAACUAACCUUGAUAAUCGGUGCCUCAUAGCAUGUACACCCGAAUGUCCCCUAGUAGGGCCACUGUGAAAGUAAUCGAAUGACUCUUUUCUGAGAUUAGGAUCAUUACCUACCACUACCUUUCCUUUCCUUCGAAGCAUUUUACCAUCCCAAGAAUAUCUAGAAUGGGACUGAGAAUUCUAUUGAAGUUCCUGGCAUAUUUGUUGCAAUGAUGGAUCAAUGAGACACGAUUCCUUAACUCGAGCCCACACAUCUAACCAGGAAAUGUUGCUUAUGCAUUGCAAAAAUUACCAUUCAUGAACCCUAUGAGACAAGGCAUCUGCCACCUUGUUUUGGCUGCCCUUUCUAUAGGAUAUAUAAUAAUCAUACCUUAGCAUUUUCACCACCUAUUUUUGUUGGAAUGGUGUAAUUGUUUUUUUGUCAGCCAAGAACUUUAAACUGUGAUGGUAUUUGUCUCAUAUUUCUUUUCCAUCGUCAUAUUUGCAUCAAAUUUUCUCUCCAUUUCUGAAACUAUUUUUGCUCUCAAUAUCAAAUCAAUCCCCGAUAAUUCGAUUCUCUAUCAUUUGUUGAAUUCAUCGUUGAUAGCUUCCGUAACUCCAUCAAGUAUGGUAAGUGCCUCUCGAUCUAAAGUUUAGGACCCCAAAUUUCAUAAAUUUUUUAUCCGACAUUGAUCUUACAAAUCAAUUAGUCAAUCUUUCACGGUUCUUGAUAAAUCUUUCGUUAAUAUACAAAUGUUAACUCUUGUAUAAUUGUCGUUCGAAGGACCCAAUUUAAGGAUCCUGGAUCAGAUUUGAACGUGAGGGACAUCGCUCAAGAUCUCGACGAAUUAGAGAAAAAUUGUGUCUAUGAUAGCACCACAUAGUCUUCUACACAAGUGUGUGGGUCACACGGCCCCUGACACGACCAUGUCCCCUUGAAACCCAAGGAUCUUCGAUUCUCACACAGCCUAGGACCCUUCAUAUGACCAUGUCUCCCUUGCACCCUAAUUUUGCAUGAUCUAUAUGGCCACAGUUUGUCACACAAUAGUGUAACCCCUUCACAUGGCUAAAGGCAUUGCACACAGCCAUGUGCCCCUAUUUUAAAUUUUUACCUAGAAUUUUAUGAUUUAUUCAGAUUAGUCCCUGAAUAGUUUUUGAACUAUUUUUAGUGUUUUAUUUUUAUUUAAUUAAGUCCCUGAUAAUAUGGAAAAUGCUAGAAUCCACGACAUGAUUGACUAAAUUAAUGCUAUAUAUAAUUGCCUAUAUUGUGAAUGAUAUAUAUGUUUAUUAUUUAAACAAAGUCAUGUUGUGCUCUAUCUAUAAGUAUAAACAAAUAAUCAAAAUAAAUUUCACUUCUUCUUGAAUGAUUUGAUUACAUAGAGAGUGACAUUCUUUAGAUCUUAUGCAUAUUUUGAGUUAUAUAUAAGAAUGGAUACGAUAUUAUAUAUUUGUUGUAAAUUGUUUUUUAUUGUCAAGGUUGUGGUUCUUAGGAAAUAGACCGUGGACUAUCAUCUCCAUGUAGGGCCAUUUUUUUAAAAUUCAUAGAAUUCUUGUAAAUCGAAAACGGACAUAAGACUUAAAUCACAACAAGAAAUUAAGCUUUUAGCGACGUUUUUAGUGGCGUUUGAACCAAAAAUGUCGCAAAAGUUAUACAUUAGUGGUGCUAAUCGAAAAACACCGCAAAAGGCUAUAGCUAUAGCGGCGUUUAUGUGAAAAACGCAGCAAAAAAUCAUUUUAUUUUAAACAAAACGACGCCGUUUUGCUCCCUGUAUUCUUUUCGACAACUCAUGCACUCUUUCAUCCUCUUCUAUGUAUUAUGUAACUAGUUUCUUUAUAUUAAUUAAAAUACAAUUUAUUUUUAAUUUAAUAUUAAAAAGCUUCAAAAAAAAUUCAUGACACGUAGAAAACAUUUGAAAGUAAAAAUAUAGAAAAAUAUAUGUUAAAAAGAAAAAAUUUAAAAUACUAUUAUUUAAAAUAAUUUUAUCUGCUGUAACAAACUGAUUUCUAACCAGAAGAUUUUGAUUGGGGAUUCUAGUUUACAGAGAGGCUUGACUCCUUUUGUAGAUGAUGGCCUCAUUGAGAUAGUUGGAUUUAGAAAUGUCCUACAUGGUCUUGUUUUGCUUGCUCCAAAUGGACAUGGGACUCAUUUAGCACAGGUAGAACAAGAAGGUUCAUGACUGGUUUGCACUCUUUAACCUCAGGGAUUUUGAAAUUUUGGAGAUUAGACUGUAUUUGGGAAUUUGAAGAUAUAGUGGAAAUUGUAGCUCCUAACCAGAUUAGGUUCAUUGAUUAUGAGGUUGGAUCCUUCAUUGUUGGUAUAUAAAUAUUAUGAGUCGGGCAUAACUAUGAUUGUAACUUGUGAGCAGGGUUAUUAUACCGUAUCGAUAUUGAUAAAUUUAUUGAAGAUAUUACCUUUGUACUGUUUUGAUUUUUGUUGCCCGGGAUGCAAUCUUUCUCCCUGUUUAGAGCCCAUGUUUGUAAGGUGUGCCAAAAGUUGAACUUGAAUUAAAAUAUUUUUUUUAUAUUUAAAAUUUAAAUUCUAAAUUUAAAUUCAUUAAUUUUUAUAUUUAGUUUUAAAGUUAAAAUUUUAAUAGAAAAUUUAAUUUAAUUAAUCUUAUUUUUAUUUAGUAUAUAGUCUAAAGUUCAAAUUUCAAAAAUAAAAUAAAAUAAAAUAUUUUAUCAUAGAAAUAAAUAUUAUUUAAUUUAAAUAAAUUUUUUUAAAGGUCAUGUUCUUUAGCGGCAUUUGUGGGAAAAGCGCCGCUAAAGGUCAUGUUCUAUCAUACAGAAAUUAUAUCAUACAGUUAACUAAAAACAAUCGAGCAACAUUGCUCCACCUACUGAUGUAACAUGGCUUUGAAAGCUACCCUAAAAUCAUCCAUUCUUUCAUGCAAUGUGUGGUAGUUGACUCUCACCCCUACCUCGGAUCCAAUAUAUAUUCUCGUUGAAAAUUGCAUUUUGAAUAGUGGUAGACUCUUCAACCGCAUCUUGCUCAACCAACUGAGGUGCCUUAGAAAAAAAUUGAAGAAAAUUUUAUAACUGAAACUUUAAUCUCAUGUCAUCAAGGAAAAAAAAUAAGAAACACAUAUAUACUCAAGGAAUUUAAUUAAAAAUUUUGCAUGUUAUGCCUUGAGUUGUAAUUAUUAUAAUUACAUAGAAUAAAGUAGGAUUAAAGGGUUGUAGGAUAUAUACCUUUGUUUUGAAAUGUACAAAUUCCUGUGAAUCAAUGAAGAAACCAGUAGUCAACUUAGGGCAAUCUCUUACUUGCAACCUUAUCAUUGCUGGGAAUACAGAAUGAUAUCCUUUGGGACAAAAGUGAAUGAGGCCAGGCAGUUCUUCAAGUAAUAAAAAAUUUAAUUUAUCAAAUUUCAUCUCCUUUGCAGGUACCACUUCCACUUCAUCUUCUAAUUCGAAUACUUGUUCCAAUUUAGAAUUCCUUAUAACUAUGAGAGUUUCAAGCUUUGGAAGAACAGGAACAAAUCCAAAAGGAAAGAGACUGUUCAAAUUUUUACAAUUUGUAACAGUGAUCCGAGUCAAAUUUGGAAAGCUCAUAGGUUGGAGGCUAGUAUCACAAUUUGAUGAUGAUGAAGAAACUUGAUCCUUGGCUAAAAUGAGUCGUUCUAUUUCCUCACACUCCUCGAUGAAAAGAUCCUUCAAAUGUGAUAAAAUGCGAGCCAUCAUAGGUGAAAAUAUAUAUCUUAGCUUCUUGCAAUCUUUUAGUGUUAGAGUUGUAAGGUUCUCAAGGGUUACAACUUGAGCAAAAUCGUUCCAUAUAACCCGCACUUCAAAUAAAUUC
rnacentral:lncRNA from 1 species